rnacentral:lncRNA from 1 species
UUUUUUUUUUUUUUUGUAAUUAUGCCUUCAUUUUAGUACAUUAUACAAUCAAGUCUAUAAUGGAGACUACUAUCUCUUAGCAUCAUUUCCUUGGUGCUUUCUUAUGGCUGUCAUAGUUUGGUUCUGUUUGGUAAAUCAACAUCUUGAUGUACCCUCAAGGCUUUGCUUCUCGAUCUCAUAUAUCAAAUAACUUGAUUCCUUUCAUAACAUUGUUCAUAUUUCAAUUUCAUUCUCAAGCAUAAGUCUUUUUUUUUUUUGUAUUUCAAUCAUAUAACACUUUGUACUUUAGCCACAUUGCAUUAACAUUUUAGCCCCUAUUAACCGUGUUGACACCAUUUUUUGGUGAAAAUUGGAGUCGCCACCGAUCUUUUAAAGAAGUGUGAUCGGAUCACCUUGAAAAUAAUUUUAGGUCUGCGAAUUUUGAGAAAAUAGGUUCGGGAGUCGGUUACGCAUGAGGAAGGGUUAGCACCCCCGUGACGCCCAAAAUUGGUACCGAAUUGAUUGUUUAAUGUCUUAAUGUCGAAAUUUUGAAAAGAUUUUAAAAUAUGAUCCUUUUAUCUUGAAUAAAAUGAAUUGGAUGAUGAGGCUCAUCAAUUUCAAAAAAAUAAAUUGUCACACUCAGUAAGUUAGAAUGCGACACGUCAAAUUCUCAAAAUUAAGUUUAUCCUUUGACUUUUAAAACCUAUGCAUUUCGAGAAGGAUAUCUGAUUAUUUGGGUCGAAUGAAAAAUCAAAACCCAGUAAGUUAGGGUUCAAUUUCCCAAAAUUCCUAAAUACCGAACAUUGCCUUUAUUUUUAAAAUCCUCGUUUCGAGAAAAUAACAUGUCAUAUCCAAUGCGUUAGGACACAACGUGUCGAAUUCUCGAGAAUGGGUUUUUAUUUGAAAUUUUGUGUUUGAAUUAAAAAAGGGGUAUUUGGUUACUUAAAUUCAAUGAAGAAANNNNNNNNNNNNNNNNNNNNNNNNNNNNNNNNNNNNNNNNNNNNNNNNNNNNNNNNNNNNNNNNNNNNNNNNNNNNNNNNNNNNNNNNNNNNNNNNNNNNCAUGAGGAAGGGUUAGCACCCCCGUGACGCCCAAAAUUGGUACCGAAUUGAUUGUUUAAUGUCUUAAUGUCGAAAUUUUGAAAAGAUUUUAAAAUAUGAUCCUUUUAUCUUGAAUAAAAUGAAUUGGAUGAUGAGGCUCAUCAAUUUCAAAAAAAUAAAUUGUCACACUCAGUAAGUUAGAAUGCGACACGUCAAAUUCUCAAAAUUAAGUUUAUCCUUUGACUUUUAAAACCUAUGCAUUUCGAGAAGGAUAUCUGAUUAUUUGGGUCGAAUGAAAAAUCAAAACCCAGUAAGUUAGGGUUCAAUUUCCCAAAAUUCCUAAAUACCGAACAUUGCCUUUAUUUUUAAAAUCCUCGUUUCGAGAAAAUAACAUGUCAUAUCCAAUGCGUUAGGACACAACGUGUCGAAUUCUCGAGAAUGGGUUUUUAUUUGAAAUUUUGUGUUUGAAUUAAAAAAGGGGUAUUUGGUUACUUAAAUUCAAUGAAGAAAAUUGAAGCCCAGUAAGUUAGGGUACAAUUCUCUUUGAAAAUCUAAGAUACCGGGUAUUGCCUUAUUUUGAAAACUAUCGGUUAAAGUAAUUCCCAAGACUUAAACCAUGUCACACGUAAUUAAUUUUUAGCAGAUAAAACAUGACAGUGACAAAUGGUUGAUAAGUACGAAUAAGUGAUACAAUACACAUAAGGGCAAUAGUCACAUAUUAUGCAAAUACAAACGUUAAUCUUUCUAAGAUACUUCUAAAAACUAAACAAGUUAACAAAUAUGAAAUGUGACAAAUUUUUGAAAUAACUAAAAGACAAACAACAUGCAAGCAGGGAAAUUAUAAUUAAUGGAUUAUUCGUAUAAAAAUCUAAAAAGAAUAACAUGUAUAAGAAGUUUGACAUAGAUAAAAAAAUAGGGUUUUAAAAUAAUAAUAAUAAUAAAUGAUGUAAAAAAACUUAAAAUAAAUAUAUAUCAAAAAUCAAAACAACUGAUAUAUUAAUACAAUAUAUUAAUCUAUAUAAGUAGUAUAUAUAAAAGAAGUAAUAUAUAAUGGAGAACUUCAUACAACAAUAUAUGUAUAAUAUGUACAUAAAGUUGCAGUGAACAAAAAAUAAUGGAAUAGAAAUUAAAAUAAGAUAUGUAAAAUAUUUUAAAUAAAGGAUAAAAACUUAAAUGAAUAUUCUAUGAACAUGGGUUUUAGAUAAUCAAUAUGAAUCAAUUUAAAGCAAAUAAGAUAGAAUAAUUUUAGAAUAAUUAAAAUAUAAAACAAAUUAAUAAUAAGGUAAUAUACUAAGUUAUUUAAAGUAAUUUAUUUACAAAGUAAGUUAAAAUAAUAUAUUAGGAUUUUAAUAUAUAUGAGGGAUUUUAAAAUAAAUUGAUUUCAAAAUAAAUAGAUUUUAAUUUAAAUAAUAUAUAUAAAUAUUUAAACUAAAUAAUAUAUUAAAACAUAUAUUAUAUAUAAAAGUUUAAAAUGAAUAAAUAAAAUAAUGGAAAAAUAAAGAAAUCGUAACAUAUAUUAAAACGGUUUAAAUCAAGGUUAAUAAUUGAAUUGGAAUUGCACUAAAACAUGGAGUAUAAACAAAGAACAAGGGAUUGAUUAUGGAAAUAUUCCUUCAACUCAAGCGCAACGUCUCAUUAUGGAUUAACAUGAAACGUGCAGCAAAUCAUAGGGCCCGAAUCAUAGAAACUAUAGGGACUGAAAUACAAAUUAGCGCAAAAGCAAAGGGAUCAAGUGCAUAAAUGUACCCUUCACCGCAAAACACGCGGAUCCCCAAGGUAUUGGGUCGGGUCAGCAGUUAUAACUCAAUACGACACCGUUUUGGAGCCAUAGAGUCAAGCCCUAAACGGUGCCGCUUUCAGUCCCUAAUACAACCCUAAAAAAAUCAGUAGCUAUUACAUUUUAGAACCCAAAAAAAAACCUAAUACUUCCCCCAUUCUCUUCGCAGCGCCGCCUCCUCAAAUCCCCUUUCUUCCAUCUCUGAUUUGAAAGGAAACAGGGAGAGCUGCGAUGGCGCACUACGAAGGUAAGUAUUUUUUUCUGCGUCGCUCUAUGCAAUGAUCGUUCAAAAAGGAUCUCCGAACAUUCGCUCCAACUCUGAUUGCGACGAAGAGAGCAAAGAUCCGGCCACGAGGUACGCUCCUCCCCUUUUCUCUCUUCUUUUUCUAUAUUUCUCCUCUUAACAAACGAUUGAUGAACGCGAAAAAAAGAAAAGUAAAAAGAAUAGCAAAAUGAAAAAUGAACCAGAAACCCAGGAAAUCACCUUUUUGUAUUUUGAUUUUUAUUCUGAAUGCGUAUCUGUUCUCUUUACAAAUUGAAAAAUGGCUUUUAUAUAGCCGAAUCGAAAAGAAAAAUAAAUUAAAAUACAUCAUUUUUCUCUCCCCUCUUUUUCUUGCUUCUUUGUGUGCUGUGGGUUCUUGCAGGUGUACGGAGGCCGUACAGUGAUGUGGCAUGGCGCAGAGACCAGUUGGAGGCGCGUGGCGUGGAGUGCGUAGAGAAGAAGCUACUGUUGCGGCGGCUAGAGGGCAGUGAUGCUAGGGUUUCCCCUUCUGUUGUAAUCGGGUUUGGGCUAGGCUAAUUUGGGCUUUAGGGUUUUAAUUCUUAUUAGGCCAUUCGGGCCAUUGUAAUUUUGGGUUUAAAUUUUCGUUAAAUGGACUGUUUUUGGUUUUUAUCAUUUGGGUUUGUUUUGCUGGUAUGGGCCCAGGCAAAAAUGGGCUCUUACAAAUCGGACAUAGACUAAAGGACAAAUUAAUACGUUGGUAUACGCUCACAGACCCUCAAGGCUUUGAAUCUGAUGAUACAUUCUUAGAGCCCUAAGGCUUUGAAGAACUAGUAAUAUAAUGCACCCAAUGUUGAAUAAAUAUGAUGCGCCCAAAGCUAAAGAGAGUUAUGACAUAACAGAUCAUAUAACAUGCUGAAUAUACCCGUAACUCAAACUGAGACAGUUUAGUAGCAAAUUCUUAUAGCGAUAUACAUGAAUUCACAUAUGAUUAAUUCCUUUCAUUAUGCUUUCAUAUUUAUACCAUGUUGUAAGUAUAAGCAUACAUUUAUACACAUUAGCUCAACAAAGUUAUCAAAGUCAUAAAUUUAUCUUACUGUAACACCCCAAACCCAACCUAGACGUUAUGGCCGUAUCUGGCAAUGUCACACGAUAGUGUUUUUGAAACCUCGUUGUCCCAUUGAAAACAUUUCAUGUUAUUAUCUUUAGUAAACCUUUUUAGAACUUAGAAAGUCGUCUUUAUUCAUUUAAAACAUUCGAUUUGAAACAUCCCUCGUUGCGGAAGCUUUAAUAAAACAAUCUAAGUGAUCAUGCGUUUAAACUACUUUAACUUUUUGAAAACCGAAUUUUCUACGACUAGCAGGUAUAAAUCCAUAAAGUAAAAUAAAUAAAUAAAAACCCUAAUUUUAAAAAUAAAUUCCCAGAGGGUCCUUAAAUUACAACCCAAAUAAUCAAUAAUAAUUAAAUCAUUAAACGUAAAUUGAAAACCAUGAAGUCUAAAAAUUUUUGUGGUCACCGUUGAGUCCUCUGUCGCACCGAUCUGUCUAAGUCUGGAAAUUACCUGUGCACAUUAAACAAAAAGGGUGAAUUUACGUAAACGCAGUGUGUAAUCCCGCUGAAACAAACAAACAAUCAGUAUUCACAGUGCACAGUUGAACAGUCUUGGGCCUAAGCCCUUUUCAGUAUCAGUGACAGUUUAGCCCUUAGCUCAUCUUAGUACAGUGUCAAAAAUGCAGUAGGGCCUUAGCCCAUCACAGUAUCAGUAGCAGUAACAAUUAUACAGCAGCAAAACCCUACCCAUCCAGCCUCUACACACCAUCUCCGUCCAACCCUACACUCCAUGUGGGGAUAUAAUCAACCCACGCAUCCCUACACUUCAAGUAGUAAUGCGGCAUAAACAGUAGUUUGCAGCUGAGCUGCCAAUAAAUUUGGCUUAAAGCCUUUUAGUACACUUCCUCCGAAUAACAACCCCCAACCCAAUGCAAUGCAACAUAAAAUGGAUGAUAUGCUAUUAUGCAAUUUUAAUACAUAUAUUCGGUUCAGAUAUUAACAUGCUUAGUACAUAUAUCAUUCAGUAAAUUUCACACAUUUAAGGGUUUAAUUAGCGCUUACCGACCUUACAGUAGGUUCAUAGUUGACUUGGGUGACCCGUGCAACCUUAGAAACAUUCUGGUAAAAAUAGGCCCACAUGCCCGUGUGUGCCCGUGUGGCCCACUCGGCCAAAAUUGGCCUUGGCCGUGUGAUCCAUUUUUAAUGUAACCCAUGCUAGCUAAAUAUUCAUAUAUGUUUUCGCUAUUUACUUAUAUGUUCAUUCAAAGCUGUCUACUUGAGUCAUUGUCACUAAAUUAUUUAUAUCUUGAGCUACAGAAUUCCAAAUUAAGAUCCGCUUGAUGUUUUCGAAACUAGACUCAAAUACCUUUCUACCAUUAAAUUUUUAGAUUUUAUAGUUUAUCAAAUAAGUAUAGUAAAAUCUUCAAAUCUAUCCCGAUUCUACUGUUUGACAACUUCAACAUUUCCUUACUAAAAAUUAUUUAUCUUUUAGUACGGAAUUCAGAUGAUGUUUCCGUUUUUUCUCUUGAAUAUAGACUCGUUAAGGAUUUAAACAUAUAAAUUUAAGCCCCUAAUUAUUUUUUUACAAUUUUUGAUGAUUUUCCAAAGUCAGAACAGGGGAACCUGAACCCAUUCUGACCUUGUCUCACAAAAUUCAUUAUAUCUUAUAACUCACAAUUUCAUUACUUACACUGUUUCUUCCAUGAAAAACUAGACUCAAUAAUCGUAUUUUAUUCAAUCUCUAACUCAAUUUCCACUAUUUUUGAUGAUUUUUCAAAGUUAGACUACUGCUGCUGUCCAAAACUAUUUUAGUGCAGAAUGUUGAUUUCCAAGUUUAUAACACCCUUAUUUCCUUUCUCUACAAUUUUUCGCAUUAUUUUAUCUUAUUUCUCUUAUUUCUCGACAGCAAGCAAUUUUGACUUUUCACCAAAUUCCAUUUUCUGUGUUUCAGAUACACACCUGAUAUCGUUUCUAAUGCGUAAGCAGUCCUAAGCCUUCAGAACCUAAAAAUCGACCAACAAAUCUCCAGAUUAAUCACUUAAUUCUUUUUUAAUCAACCAACUUUGAAAGGAACUCGGCUAAAAACCUAACAAAACCCUUACCUUGCUUGAGUAACCAUGACUUCACACAAUCACAGCAUCGAUUCAAAACCACCAGCCCCUUGAUUAACUCCUAAACACUAAAAAGGAAUCCUCUUUUCAGAGAUUAACCAAGAACGCUUAACAAUAGACAAAACCAUUACUUACCGAACACACGCAACCAACGAUGAACAACCAAAUCAAUUAGAAAAUAAACAAAGAAACAGAAGGGGAAAUAUAAUGGAAAUUUCGACAACAACUAGGGGAAAGAAUCGACAGAAGAGGGAAAAAAGAAGAAGAAAACGUCAGAAAAAGUUUGGGUAAUGGAGAGAAAACCGAAACUCUACUCUCUUUUUUCUGCAACAAAAAGAUAAUCAGAUUAUUUUCUAAUAACCUAUCCCCCAUUAUCUUUUAAAAUCACUCCCUAUUAACCCACUAAAACACAGUUACUCAGAAUUUUACCCCAACACAACUCUUAGCUAAAAUUGGAGCCAAAAUACUGUCUCCACACUAUCAUAAAGAAUUGAACACAAGACCUCCUUCACACCAACACUCCCCUUAUCCACCAGACAAGCAGGCCCAUUCUGUUAAUUAUUUACCAACUUUUACUUAAAAGCCUAUUGACCAAAAAAUACCAAAAUUUGCCCAAGUCCUAGCUUGAACUUGGGACCUCUCACACACCCAGAACACUUAACCACUGAAGCAAAUACACAAUUGUGUCACAUCAUCGCAAGAACAAAAAUAAAAAUUCUGGGGCAUUACAACUCUACCCCCUAAAAGAAAUUUUCGGCCUUGAAAUUUCCCUGAUUAGAACAAAUAAGGAUACUGCUGACGCAUUGCAUCCUCAAGCUCCCACGUGACCUCCUCAGUGCUAUGAUUACACCAUACCUCAGUGCUAUGGUUGUAGGGAAUCUCUCCUGUUCAUGUAUCAUUUCUUUUUAGACCUGGUGAUGGUUACCGAAGUAGUAUCAUCUGCAAGAUCCACCGUUUUGAUUGAGGAUGCUGGAGAUUCAUCUUCAGAUUCGGAGUCCAAUGAGCUGAGCAUUUUAGCCAUGAGUUUUUUGUAAUCUUUUUUGGUCUUGGCUUGAGCUAACAUUGCACUAGCUGUCGACUUUGCUUGGAGAAAUUUUGCUGUGGUUUGAUCCAGAGCUGCGGACUUACAUAAUCUUGGAUUCUUGUUGAAAAAAUUAUCCAAAUAUUUUGAAUCAUAUUUUUCAUCAUUAAAUUUGUCCCACCAUUUAGUCCUGUAAUUGCGAACUAAUAAUGGAAUUCCAGUAUGUUGGUCUUGCUCAUAAGAAUAAUUCCAUGAGACAAUCCAGGAAAUGCAUAGUUUUGAGAAAAAANNNNNNNNNNNNNNNNNNNNNNNNNNNNNNNNNNNNNNNNNNNNNNNNNNNNNNNNNNNNNNNNNNNNNNNNNNNNNNNNNNNNNNNNNNNNNNNNNNNNCUUAUCCCUCCAAACAUGUCCCAAGGCCUCAACGCCCAAAACCACUAUACAUAUUAGUGAGUACUCACAAUCCUAUGGCAUGCCAACUAUAUCCAAUGGUUCUAAGAUCACAAGGCCAAAAUAUCUGAAAAAUAGCACAUAUUACUUACCGAUUAUCCGUGCACUAACACUGCAUAUUAGCAUCUUUUGCAAAACAUCAGCAUAGUCAUAUAACAUAUAUAUAUCACACAUUUAUUUCAUGUAUAUAUAGUUGCACUUUACAUAAUAAUUAACAUACUCACUUAUCACAUUUCAUGUACAAUACAUAACCACAAUAUAAUUAUAAAUUCAAGAAAACUUACACACGGAACUUAGAGUAGGGGUUUAGGUUACAUCUAAAUUCCCAAAUAACACAUGACUCAUGUUUACAAGUAGCAAUUCCAUACGCUCACCACUUUAUACUUUUGCAGAAAAGUUGAAAGCUCAACUAACUCUUCCCUAACUCGUAGCAACCUCUAACAAAUCUGAGGCUUUACACACAAAAAUCAUAGAAUAACCACAGUCAAGUAACAACAAAAAAUUCACUCAAACCAACUAAAACACAAGCUUUUAAGCUAAGCUCUCAUGUAGCUUAAACUAUUAACAUAACAAACUUUAAAUUCUAAUAUAUUGGUCCAUACUCAAUCUUUUUGCCUAAAAUCAGUUCUAUUCAUCUAAUUACUCAUCUACGCCUAAUUCACAACCUUUAAACUAGGCAAAUCUACUCAAUUCAUGGUAUCGAUAUUUUUCAACAUCUUUUACACAAAUUUCACAAAAUUCAUUAAAACAUGAGAAAUCAUUAACGAAACUUCAAAGUAAGUUUAAAAACCUUCUAAUCAUGCUAAAAUAAGUUAAAGACACUUUGAAACCAAGUUUUGGCUCACAAUCUUGAAAUCCACCAUUAAUAACUCGAUUUUUGGCUUUUAUUUAGAACAUGCGAUUUGAAGUCUAAUAAUUCAGUUUUGAGGUCUAAAUAACAUUAAAAACUAAUGGUAACAUGAACGAUUACCUUUUUUGAAAAAAUGAAUGAGUUUGACAUAAAUCCAAAAAAUUCACAUUUGGAGAAGAUGAUGAAAUCUAUGAAGUUUUGUUUUCUUGAAGAUUUAUGAUGGAAUGACUUAGGAAUGAUAGGAAAUCAAGGUAUUAUGAUUUGGGAAUAAAGAAUAGAAAGAAAUAGCAAGGGAAAAGUAAAGGGCGACAAGCAUGAUGAAGGGGAAAAGAAACUGACGUGAAAAAAUGUUGAUGGGGAAGAAAUAGGUUCAAUUUUAUAAAUUGGUUAAAUUGCCACAUAAAUGCUCACUAAUUUGACUAUGUUACAAAUCAGUUCUUUCUCUAAAAUUAGGGGUUUCUAAAACACUUUUUCAAAAAUUGAUUUGACAGCUAAGAUGCCAUAGUCGAAAACAUUACUGAGUACCAACCUUACGAAAUUCUAAGCUCAUAUAGGCCAAAAUUCCUAAAAUACCCCUAAAACUCUUAAGCUCUAUUUUGGGGUGUUACAUUUUGACCGAACAUAUUCUUCAUAGUCAUUAAUACAUGCUGAACAUACAUCAAAUGGUCUUGAAAUAAUAGUUAAACAUGCAUAGGUCCAUUAAGCAAAAUUUCCAAAACUAGUACGUAGGUAUCGAUACUGGAACAUGGGUAUCGAUAUUUUCCUUGCACGGUAUUGAUACUGUAUGGAAAAUCGGUACCAAGUCAGCAUAUUGUUUUCCACCUAAAAUAAAAAACACCAGAAAAUAUCAGUACAUUUCAAAAAGUAUCGGUACUUCUGCCCCGAGUAUCGAUACUCGUGGUAUGGUAUCAAUACCAAAUUAUAAUUUUAACUUCCUACACAUUUAAAAAUCAAAGAGGUGUCGUUUUUACAACCCAAAUAUCGAUACAUCUGCUUUAGACCUAAAAAAUACAGCACAUAUAAGCCUUCCAACCAUCCCAACACAAGUCCAUUCAACAUACAUGCUUUACUAUAUCAACUAAACAUCAAAUCGUCCAUAAUAACACCUUUAAGCAUAGUAAUUAAGUCCAAGAAGUAAUCAACAUAAUACAAAUCAAAACUCAAAAUCCUAAGAGCAAUUAAAUCAUGGAAACAUCCCAAUUAUCAUAUCAAAUUCUAGUAUAAAGUCUACCACAUAGCCUUAUUCCUGAAACAUAAGUGAAUAAAUAAUAAACACCUACGAAAAAAUGAAAAUGGACUUGCUUGGAUCACCCCUCGAAAUCAUACCGUUCACACCGGCACACAACUAAUCUGCAAUGGUAUUAAAAAGAGUGGGUGAGCUUAACAAGCUCAGUAAAUGUCUCGAACAACUACCACACAAACAUGUCAUCAAGCACUAGUGGAUCACAUACAUAGCAUGUUGGAAAAACGGGUUUGGAAAAUGCAACGAAAAAUAAAUUUAGGGAAAAACUAAAGUAUUAAUUUUUUUUCAAAAAUGAUCUUGGUUGUAAUAUCUAAAAUAAUAAACACUUAAUCAAAAUUAUANNNNNNNNNNNNNNNNNNNNNNNNNNNNNNNNNNNNNNNNNNNNNNNNNNNNNNNNNNNNNNNNNNNNNNNNNNNNNNNNNNNNNNNNNNNNNNNNNNNNNNNNNNNNNNNNNNNNNNNNNNNNNNNNNNNNNNNNNNNNNNNNNNNNNNNNNNNNNNNNNNNNNNNNNNNNNNNNNNNNNNNNNNNNNNNNNNNNNNNNNNNNNNNNNNNNNNNNNNNNNNNNNNNNNNNNNNNNNNNNNNNNNNNNNNNNNNNNNNNNNNNNNNNNNNNNNNNNNNNNNNNNNNNNNNNNNNNNNNNNNNNNNNNNNNNNNNNNNNNNNNNNNNNNNNNNNNNNNNNNNNNNNNNNNNNNNNNNNNNNNNNNNNNNNNNNNNNNNNNNNNNNNNNNNNNNNNNNNNNNNNNNNNNNNNNNNNNNNNNNNNNNNNNNNNNNNNNNNNNNNNNNNNNNNNNNNNNNNNNNNNNNNNNNNNNNNNNNNNNNNNNNNNNNNNNNNNNNNNNNNNNNNNNNNNNNNNNNNNNNNNNNNNNNNNNNNNNNNNNNNNNNNNNNNNNNNNNNUGACCAACCGCCGCCGUCGCAGCCAUCGGCACCGCGUGUCCUGUAAUGCAGGUGUGACACCCUUACGGCACCCCCAGCCAGUUCGGUCCGGGUCAAUGACGGUCGAUCUAAUCUAGCCACCGGUUGGACUAUCGACCCAGUAUCACAUGUCAGGCUCGGUUCGACCAAUUUUUGAGUCUUGAUUUUAAUUUUGGGCUCCUAGGCCCAAUUUACGAUCUCAUAUCCAAUUUUCAAGUUCAAUUACCCAUUGGGCCAAUUGUCUGACUUAAAAAUUAAUUUCCAAAAAUAUCAUAUUAAUUUCCAAAAAUAUCAUAUAAUUUUAAUUAAUUUAAUUUUACUUGAUCAAAAUUAAUUUUUUCAAAAAUCACUUAGAUUUUCCAAAUUAAUUUUUUAAGAAAAUUCUUUAAUCAACUUUUCUAGUUGAACAAUUCUUACGACCACCUAAUUUAAUUCCACAUCGAAUAAAUCGACUCAAUUAAAGUAUUCAUAGAGUCGUAGAAUUUUCUUUUGAUUCAAAUGCAGUUUGAUUGAGCUUUUGUUGAGCUAGCGGAGGGACCAAUCGGACAUAUACAAUUAGACUCUAGUGAUUACAAUUAUGUCCAAAAGCAUCAUUUCGAUAAUUCACAAUUACUUAAUCAUGGAGUCAGUUCACAAGAAGUACCAUGAUUGAAAACUUCUUAUUGUAUACUCUUUACGAAAACAAUUCAUCCAACUGCUUUGUUCAAUGACCUUAUCAUGUGUGUGUUACCCUCAUAUAAUAUCCUUGAUUCCUUUGAGUUAAAUCCGUUGACUCAAUACAAUCCUAUUUUAUCUCAUUGUCACCAUUAUGUCUUCUUAAUGAUUAAUAUGAUCAAUGUCAACAAAUGACUGUGAUAAAUUACUCGUUCGAGAACAAGCAACUCGUGGCCAUGUUCCAUAUUUAUCAAUCCACAUUACGCCAAUGAGAGGAAAUCAUUAACUCUUUAAUUGAACUAUGAAUUCCACUGUUGCUAGUAAAGUUAUGCCAUACACAAGUCAUUUAACCAACAUACCAGCUGUGGGCUCGAUCAUCUUUAGAAGCCUCCACUUAUAUCAAAGCACAUGAGUUGCAUAUGCAUGGUUAAUGGCUAACUCAAGAUUUAGGUAAAUCACACCAUGAACGUCACAAGUGAAUUAAUUCAUAAACGGAUUCAGAAUUAAUUCAUCUUGGGUCCAGUCCAAUGUAUCAUUCUACCAAUGAAUACAUCUAUGUCUCUACUCGUGGAGUCAACUGUUCCAAUAACCAAGACUAUUCAUCUCCCCAAUUGGAAUUGUAGACGACAUAAUAAUCCUUCUCAGUAUUUGAAUCAAAUGCUCACUUUGAUUCUUUUACGGGAUUACGGGCUUAAUUAGAUUAUCUAUUGAAGUAAGUUGUAUUUCUCGCAAUGUAAAUGUUCUUAUAAUGCCACUUAUCUUCAAUUUCAACUUAGAGAAUCAAUGAGCUAAUAUUUAUUUGUCACAAUUUUGCUAUGCAUACAAAAAUAUAAAAGACAUAAAUACAAAAGACAUAAUAGUGAAAUGUGAAAUUAACUUUAUUUAUUUAUUCUUCGUUCAAAUAAAUAGAAAAUAGUUACAUGUUUACUACAAUAUGGGCACAUUUUCCAACAUAUCACAAUUAGGAUAGUCUCAACUUUAUUGUCAUAUUUCACUUACUCAUGCAUGUUUAACAAUUUAUUUACUAAGUCAUCAUAUACACUUUCAUGCAUACAUUUCAAUACGUACAACAUAUUUAUAGAUAAUUUGGCACUUGAGCUUUGAAAUGUAAAAGUGGGCACUAUCACCACUCAUCGGAUAGACGAAUCUCCAACACACCACAUAGAAUCAUAGAGUCAAACAUGUCCCAAAAGUGAAGCAUAAAGCUAACACUCUCCAACACACUAAACAUGUCCCAUUUAAUGGAGCUUAGCUCACAUUCCCUUAUCUCUCCAAACAUGUCCUAAGGCCCUAAAUCCAAAUCAGAUAUACAUAUAGGUGAGUACUCACAAUCCCAUGGCAUACCAACUAUAUCCAAUAGUCUCAAGAAUCACAAGGUCAAAAUUUCCCUAUUUAAACACAUAUUACUUACCAAUUUCCAUUUACUAUCACAGCACAUUUGCAUCAUUUGCAAAAUAUUAUCACUGCCACUUAGCAUGUAUGACAUGCUUACAUAUACUCUUUCACAACACUAAUCAUAAACUAAUAACACAUAUAUAGCAUUUCAUUUCAUUUCACACUUUCACAUUAACACAAGCACAAAUUUCACAAGGUAAACAUGAGUACAAGGAAGCUUACACUCAGAAUUUAAAAUAGGGGUUUAGGCUAUUACUAAAUUCCCAAUUAACGCAUUGAAUCGUGUCCACGAGUAUUUAUUCCAAACACUCACCAACACGCUUUCGCCAAAAUGUAGAAAGCUCAAACUAUAUUUUCCUAGCUUGUAAAUGGUCCUAGUGAAUCCGGGUCUUCAACACAACAAUUUACACAACAAUACAUUCAAAAAUCAGCUAAGGACUCACUACAAGCAAUCAAAAACACAAACCUAAGCUAUGUUCUCAUUAAAUUGAAACCUUUAACGUAUCCAACUUGAAAUCUAAAUAUCUCGAUCUACACUUUACCUUUUUUCCUAAAAUGAGUUCUAUUCAUCUAGUUACUCAUCUAUGACCAAUUCUCAGCCUUCAAUCUACGCUAAACUACUCAAUUCAUGGUAUUGACUUUUUCAACAUGUUUAUAGUAUUUUUUUUGAAAAUUUAUUAAGUCCUUAGAAAUUCUUAAUGAAACUUUAAAGUAAGUUUAGAAACCUUUUAAUCUCAUCAAAACUAAUUGAAAAACACUUUAAAACCACAUUUUUAUCCAAAAUCCAGAAAUCCACCAUUAACGACCCGAUUUUCAGCUUUUAAUCAAAACAUGGGAUUUAACGGUUACAAAUUCAAUUUCAAAUACUAAUUAACAUUAAAAACUAAUGGGUAGAUGAAUGAUUACCUUUGAUGGAAGAAAAAUAGACUUUUGACACGAAUUCGAAAACACCCACACAUGAGGAAGAUGAUGAAAUCUAUGAAAUUUUAGGAUGUUUUCUUGAAGAUUUAUGAAGAUUUAAUACUUUGGGAAGGAUGAGAAUCAAAGUAAUCUACUUUGGAAAUCAAAAAUCAAUUGGGAGAGUAAGGGAGAACAAUGAAUGUCAAAUAGAGCAAUGGGAAGAAAACUAAUGUGGAAAAAAAAACUGUAGAUAGGGUGAUAUUAGGUUGCAUUUUAAAAUUUGCUCAAACUGCAACAUAAACACUCUAAAUUUUGACCCUAUUACAAAUCAGUCAUUUUUCUAAAAUUAUACGUUUCUAAACAUUUUUUCAUAAAUUGAUUUGAUUUUUAAAAAACCAUAAUCGAACAUAUUAUCGAUAUACCAUGUCACAAAAUUUUGAACACUCCCCUAAAACUCUUAGGCCCUAUUUUGGGGUGUUACAACAUCAAAAUAGACCGGUACCAAUAUGUUCCAGUACUAGUAAAAAAAUGAUAUGUUCACUAGUACAAUACUACCUACCUUAAUACGUACAUAUGUGAAGUGUUAUUUAGAAAAUGAAUCUAUUGUCAAGUCAUAAUACAAUUUUAUAAUUACAACCCAAUAAUUCGAGAAAUUAUUUUAUAGACCCUUCCCACCACAUCAUCGAUGGUCCCUUUCCAAUUAUUUAAUGACAUUUCAAUAUUUUUUUCCAUGUCAUUGACACAUAAUUUUGGUCUUUUUUACACAUAAGUUUUUUGGAAUUUCUUUGGAGAAUUUGGGUUUUCACUCCAAUCUCUUGGUCGAAUAAUUUUUAAUAUUUGGGUUGUUGAAUGGGUAAUAAAAUUUGGAUCUUUUGGAUCUGUGUAAUGUUUGAACGAUACAGAUCCAGUUUGGACCAGUAUAUUGAACAAUGGUUUGAAAUGCCAUCCAUUGAAAAGUUCUUUUGCCAGUAUAUGUGAAGGUUUUUCUGAAAAUUCUUCCUCCAUAACAAGAAGUUUUUCAAAAUAUUUGUUUGGAAAAUAUUGUGAAGAUUUUUGUGUAGCAGUUUGUGAAGACACCGCUAUCUCUUUUGGAAAAACAUCUUGGAGAGAAGUCUCUUUUAAAACAUUUUUAAGAGAUUUUGGUUUGUGUAAAACAAUCUCUUUAUUUUUUGAAACCUUUGCUGCUUCAGCAGCAAUUUGUUUGAGAGGAGUUUCCUCUUUCGUUUGCGAAAAGGCCAAUGCUACUUCUGGAGAUUGAGAUAGGGACUCAAUCCAUUUUUUUAUUUGAGAACCAAUCUCAUUUGGAUCUUGUGCAUCUUGAAUUAUUGUAUUUUUGGAGAAUUUUGACGAUGAUGAUGAUUUCUCAUCUUCUUCAUGGAAAAUUUCAUACCAUGUCUUAAUUGGUUUUGAGGUGAUUUGGGUUUUGGAUGAUUCUUCUAUUUUCCCUUUUCCUUUGUCUCGGAGUUUGGAGGGCAUUUUUGAAGAAACUCUCUGGUGAGAAAAUUAGGAAAAGAAUUAGUUUCUCCUUUGAUGUAUUCAAUAUCAAAAUCAAAUAUGCUCAAAAUUGCCUGCCAUCUUGCAAAAAUCUGUUUUGAGGCAAUGUUUUGAACAUCUUUUUGUAAAACUUCUUUUGCUGAUUUGCAAUCGAUUCGCAAAAGGAAUUUUUGAUUUAAUAAAUCACUUUGGAAUUUUGUAAUGCAUAAAACAAUUGAUAAAAUUUCUUUUUUAAUAGUACUAUAAUUUUGCUGAGUAGGAUUCCAGUGUCUGGAAGUAAACUGGACUACUUGCUCUUUUCCUCCUUUAACUUGUUUUAGGAUCCCACCAUACCCUAUUUCAGAAGCAUCUGUUUCAACUAUCUUGGGGGCAUUUGGAUCAGCUAAAUANNNNNNNNNNNNNNNNNNNNNNNNNNNNNNNNNNNNNNNNNNNNNNNNNNNNNNNNNNNNNNNNNNNNNNNNNNNNNNNNNNNNNNNNNNNNNNNNNNNNNNNNNNNNNNNNNNNNNNNNNNNNNNNNNNNNNNNNNNNNNNNNNNNNNNNNNNNNNNNNNNNNNNNNNNNNNNNNNNNNNNNNNNNNNNNNNNNNNNNNNNNNNNNNNNNNNNNNNNNNNNNNNNUAUUGGGGUAAUGGUUCCUUGGGUAAUAUAAUGACCUAAAAACCUUACUUUGGUUUGGAAUAAACUUAUUUUGGAUUUGGAAACUACUAAACCAUUAUUUCUUAUGACCUUUAUAAAGAUCGAUAUAUGUUUAAAAUUUUUUUCUAAAUUUUCUGAAAAUACUAAUACAUCAUCGAUGUAUACUAUUGUGAAUUGAGAAUGUUGGUAAAAAAAUAUCAUUCAUUAUUCUUUGGAACUUAGAUGGAGCAUUUUUUAACCCAAAAGGCAUUACAUUCCAUUCGCAUUGUCCAAAUGGUACAGUAAAUGUUGUUUUAUAUCUUUCUUCUUCUUUUAUUUGGAUUUGCCAAAAUCCAGAUUUCAUAUCAAAUUUUGAGAAAAUAUUUGCAUUACAAAGUUUUUGUAGCAAAUCUUUCUUAUUUGGUAUUGGGUAUCUAAUCCAUUUUAAGGCUUGAUUGAGAGGUUUGUAAUUAAUUACUAAUCUUGGCGUUCCUCUUUCAAGUUCUGCAUUUUUUAUUACAUAGAAUGCUGAACAACUCCAAGGGGAACUGCUCUUUCUAAUUAAUUUUUUAUUAAGAAGGUCUUGUAUUUCUUUUCUACAAAAUUCUUCCAUUUCUUUGUUCAUUUGUAUAGGUCUUGCUUUUGUGGGUAUUUGUCUUUCAUCAAAAUCGUUUUCGUAUGGUAAUGUUACUUCAUGUUUCUUUCUAUUCCAAAAGGCAUUAGGAAUGUCAGAACAAAUUGUUGAUUCUAUUUCUUUCUUGAUUUGAUCUAUUCUUUUUUGUAUUUCUUUUUUUCUUAAUUGUUCAGUUAAUUUUUUAAAACAUAUUUCUUCUUUUAGGAAAGAUUUGCUUCUGUUUGUAAUUAAUUAAAUUAUUAAUUUGUCCUUUAUGAAUGGAUAAAGAUUUUAACAGGUUGAGAUUUCUUAUUUUUGGUUUUUCUACAAAAGGAAAUUCUACCUUAGUGUUUAAAACUUUAGUGGAGAUAGAAUUAUUUGUUACUUUAUAAGGUUUGAGUAAGGAUAUGAAUGGGGUUCCUAAUAUGACAUCUUGGGUAAUAUCUUUUACCAUUAAAAAACAUGUUUGAUAUUUUAUACAUUUGUUGGAUAUUUCUGCAUUGGAAAUUUUGUAAGUAAUUUUUAGUUUUUUACCAUUUGCAGCCUUAAGAGAUUCUGAUGUUUUAUUAUAAUAUUUUUUUGGAAUUAAUCCUUCUCUAAUGCAGUUUUGGUCCGCUCCUGUAUCAAAAAGGGCUAUUGUUUCUAACUGAAAUUCAUUAUUUAUGACAAUAUUUAUUUUUAUCAAAUAUCUUUGAAUAGAUACUUUAGUUAGAACCAUCAUAUAUUCUUGUGUAUUUUCUUCAGGUUCAGGUUCAGUUUCUGAUGAACUUUUUUCUGAGGUUUCGUGUUUUAAGGACCUCAUUUGUUCUUUCAUUUCUUGUUGUUCUAUUUUAAGCUGAGAAAGUUCUGAUUUAAUCUAUUUUAUUUCCAACUGUAAUUCAGAGUUUGUAAUUUGUCUUGGUUUUAUUUUUUCAUAUUUAUUAAAUAUUAUGUCUUGUAUAUUAUACAUUUGUGAUUGACUAGAAAUGAUUUCUUUUUCUUUUUCUGGUUUAUCUUUUAAUGAGGAUUUUAAUUUCAAAAGGUAUUCUCUUUUAAGCUCUGGGUCUUUAAUUUUAUCAAUAACUUCUAUCAUAAAUUCUUGAUCUUUAGUUAGCAUAUUAAUUGAAGGUUCAUUUUCAUCUCCAGAAGACUGGGAUGUUGUAUGUAAUUCGUCUAUUUGUAAUUCAUCUGUUUCAGUAGAUGUAUCAUUUUCAGAAGAAAUUGGUUCUAAUAGGAUUUCAUUUAAUUUUUGUUCUAUCUCUUCUUCUAAAUUUAAGUUAUUGAUUUUUCUUUUGAUUUUACAAUAUUUUGAGAUAUGUCCUGGUUUUCCACAUCUAUAACAUUUUAUUGUUUUAUCAAUUUUGUUUUCUAUUUUUUGUUGUUUCUUCCCUUUCUGUAUUUUUUAUAUUUAGGUUUUUUAUAAUAUCUGAAAUAUUCUUUUCCUAUUUUUGGCUUUUCAGGGCAACAUGUUUUUGAAGAAUAAGGUUCAUUCCUGAUGUCAAAUUGGUGGUAGAAUGAUCCUAAUUCCUUUCUACAUUGAUAUCUUUCUUUCUUGAGUUGUUUUUGUAAUUUUAAAUCUUGACAAAUUUUUAAUCCUUCUUUUUGGGUGAAACUAAUUAGUUCACCAUAUGUAAGCUUUUCAUAUGGAAUAAUACCUUUGUAAUUUUCUCUUAUUUGAUUCCUAACUUUUUCUCCUAAUAAAGUGGGAAGUCCUGCUAGAAAUUUUUCUUUCCAAAAUGGUUGUUGGUUAUCAGAUCUUUGCAUAACUCUAGUCAUAAAGACAUAUUUAUACCAUUUAAAAUCGGUUAAUUUUUUACAUUUUAAAUUUGAUAAUAAUUCUGAAUUUCUAUCUUUAAGAUGAGAAGGAUCUCCAAUAAAGUGUUUAGAGAUUGAGAAAAUUAAAGUUGCUACUGCAUCUUGGAUUUCUCUUCCUUGUUCGUCUAAAAUAAUUCUAUCUUGAUCAUCUUUUUUUUUUGCUUUUAAAAUUUCUUCUUGUUGGGUUUUAGUGAGUGCAUGAUCCCACCACCCUUUUAAUUGACCAGUAAAUCCAGCAACUAAAAGAUUAGCUAUAGCAUGAUCAUUGAUUAAUCCAUUUUGAUUUUGGGUUUUAUAAACAUUUGAAACCAUUGUCAUUUGUUGUAAUAAACUAAGAAUAUUGUAUUCAGACAUUCCAUCUAUAUUCCAUUCAUAGAUUGUAUUAGCAUUGUAUUUAUUUUGGAAAACAAGUUUUUCUUCUAUGUUAAGAUCAGGUGAAGUGAUUUUUGGAUAAUAUAAUCUUUUUGGUUCUUUCCAAGCCAUCUUGUUAAUUUGUUGUUGAUCUGACUGAUCCGAGUCAGAUUGGGAGGAUUGGUGUAAUGUAUUUAUUGAAUAUUGGGUUUGUAUUUUAUUGGGGUAUCAGGGGCAAUUAAUUCAGACUUGUUGUUUUCUAAAGCAUUAAGUUUAUUUUGGAUUUCUGUUAGGAAAUCAUUUUGGGAUUUUUGGAAAGCUUUUGGAAUCUCAUAAGGUGUGAAUAUUGGUUCUUUGGAACUUUUUUCGAUUAUCUCUUUUACUGGUUCUUUCUUGAUUGGUUGACUCUCUACUAGAUUCUCAAUAUAAUCUAAUUGUUUUCCUAUUGUAUGAAGAUUAAUAUUUGUAUAAUUGUUUUGUUCUACUAUCAUUUUGAUAUCUUUCGAUGAGAUUUGUUCUCCUGCAUCAGGAGCUCUCAUUCUUAAAGGGUUUGCUUUUAUUCCAGUAUUCUAAUGAAGAUAUUGAACCUCCAUUAAAGGGGGAUGUCGAGAUUCAACUUCUUCUUUAUUAGUCUGUCAUCUAGUAUUAUGUCUUAUUGUAUUAACAGAUCCUAAAUAAUAUUCUUCAAACCAUUCAAAGAAUUUAUAUGGACUUUAUGAGUAUUCAUAAAUCCAUAAUAUUCUUGAAGAAUGCUUUCUUGUGGGUCAUUAUAAUUUUUAAAGUAAUCUUCUCUUUUUUGCUUAUUUUUGUUGGAAUAGAAGUGCUUUCUACACCAUUCUUUAUUUAUUUCAAACAAUUUUUCUAAAACAAAUAUUUCUGAAUUUUCUCUUUUCUUGCAUUAUUAGUCAUUGAUGAAUAAGUUGGUGACAUGUUAGGUGAAUUUUGGGGACUCUCUUCCUGUCUGGCAUAGAUAGGUUGAGCUAUAUUUCAGGAAUUAUCUAUUCCUUGUAAAUUGGUCCUAAAUGUUGUUGGGAUAGAAGAGACAGAGGCUCUGGCUGUCCUAAAAUCUACUGUUUGUGUUUCUGGAUUUGACUCUUCUUCUAUAUUUAACCACCAAAAAGUUGUGCUGGUACUUCCUAUUUCGAAGGAGUGUCUUGGAGGCAUUCUUUGUGGCCUAUUGAAUUUUAAUUCAACUGUGCCAUAUUGGUGCUGAGAAAUUUCACUUAAUGAAGUGUUUCUUAUGGGGGUUGGUGCUACAGGGUCUAUAGCACCUUCAAGUUUCCACUUAUCAGGAAGGUUUAUCUCAUGCCAUUGUAUUGUUCUGGGGAUUGUGGUAUGAGAUGUUGUGGUGUCUGUCUCUAUUAAGAGGGUUUCUCCUUUUGGGCUUUGGAGUAAAGCCUUGGUAUUAACGACAGAAUACAUAGAUUUGAAAUGGAGUCUAUAAACCAAAGUUAAUACUUCUGUACCAGGAAGCAUUUUGUAGUUAUGGGUAUGUAUUUGGAGUGUCAAAGAUUGUAAAAUAUUUUUAUCAGUCAAAGAAACCAUAAAAUUUGGAUAACAAUUAAAAUGUAUUGGGCCUGUACAUAGGCUUGUUUCUAUAGUUCCUAAUAAUGAGUCAUUAAACAUAAUAUGUCUUUGGUCUCUUAAGACUACUAAUAUUGAGGUAUUUUUAGUGGCUUCAACACUAAGAGGUUUGAUUCCAACCUGGACUAAUCCAAAAUGGAUGUAUUUGUAUCUUUGUUCUUUGAGUUUAUUAAUGACGACUUUAUCUAAUAAUUGGAUUGUUUCAUAUUCUUUUUGAAUAGGUAAACUCCUUUCUUUUGUUUUUAUAACAUAAUUGCAAAGAGCAUUUAAAUUUUCAAAAGUUGUUUUUUUUGUAAACUUGGUUUGUUGGAACUCUUGGAAGAGUCCAAUUAUCAAAUCUUUGGGGAAUAUUUUCAUAAUGUUCUUCUUGUUCAUUAACAGUGUUGUUUAAGGUUUCGUCAGAUUCUUGGGAUUGAUUAGAAACAAAGCUAGCAGAAGAAUUGGUUCUUCUAAGGAAAGGAAACAUUUUUUUGUUUUCUUACUUCCUACAGGGGGUUCUACUAUCUAAAUCUCUGAAUUAAUUAAGUUGCUUACAGGGAUACUUAGUCCUUAACAUGNNNNNNNNNNNNNNNNNNNNNNNNNNNNNNNNNNNNNNNNNNNNNNNNNNNNNNNNNNNNNNNNNNNNNNNNNNNNNNNNNNNNNUGAAAACAAAUUGAAUAUUCUCUUAAACUUAGAAAUACCUGCUCCUCCUUGGCUCUGAUACCAGAAAGUCCUGAGGAUCUGAGGACCGGAUUGGUAAUGAUAUAUUUGUAAUUUAAAAGCUUAAGUUUGGAAACUUAAUUUGAAAAUUUGAAAACUUAAUUUGAAAAUUUGGAAACUUAAAAAUUAAAUUUUGUAAACUUAGAAGUUUUGAGAAACUUUGAGAAACUUUUUGGAGAAACAACUCAAAUGGGUAAAAUCGAGUUCUGCCCUUCAUUCACAAACUGAUAGCCUUUUAUAGAGGGCUAUUCUCUCUUUACAUCAUCUAAAUCAUUACAUUUGAAACUUUUGAAUAAAAAUUUUUAAGAAAAUAUAUUCUCUGAUUACAAAAAUACAAAUUAUAGAACUAUUCACUUGUCUUUUCUUGCUGGGAAUAUUUCCUGUUCACGCAUUAUUUUGUUGCAGGGAAUCUCUCCUAUUCAUGCUCGACUAUUUUAAAAUUUUUAUAUUGAAUUAUUGUAUCUUUCAUAUAAAUUUUAAAUAAAUAAUUUUUUAAAUUUUAAGUAAUAUUUAAAAGAAUUAGAUAAAAUUAUAAUUUUUUUGUAUUUCAUUUUUUUGUAUUUUAUUUUUAUUUGUUAUAAUUUGGUCCUAUCCAAAAUAGAUAGUUACCUAUCCAUAUCAAUCUGUUACCUUUUUUUAUCAAUGUUUUUUUUAAAUCUAAUAUUUAAAUAUAUCAAAUGGUUUAGAUUAAAUAUUUUUAAAUAUAAAAGCAUUAAUUGAUUGUAUAAAAUUUCAUCAUUUAACAAAUCUCAAGUAAACCUUAAAUCCUAAACCAUUUAAUAUAUAUAAAGUUUAUCUAUUAUCUCUUAAAUAAUUUAAACUAUAAUGAUAAUUUUAAUAUAUUAAAAUUAAUAUUAUCUCUUUUAUAAUUAUAUAAGAAAUUAUUUAAUAUAUAAAUUAAAAAACUCUAAUUAAUAUAAACCGUAAACCCCUAUCCCCUAUCCCUUAAACCUUGAAUCAUAAAAUAUAAACCCUAAACCCCUAACCCCUAACCUCAAACCCCUAAACCCCAACUCAUAAACCAUAAACCAUAAUCCCUAAACCCAUAAUCCAUAGACCUUAAAUAGUAACUCCUAAACCUUAAACCCUAAACUAUAUACCCUAAAUCCUAAACCCUAAACUAUAAUAAUAAUUUUAAUAUAUUAAAAUUAAUAUUACCUUUUUUACAAUUAUAUACGAAAUUAUUCAAUAUAUGAAUUAAAAAAUACUAAUUAAUGUAAACCCUAAACCUCUAUCCCCUAUCCCUUAAACCUUGAAUCAUAAAACAUAAACCCUAAACCCUAACCCUUAACCCCUAACCCCUAAACCCCAACCCAUAAACCAUAAACCAUAAUCCCUAAACCCAUAAUCCAUAAACCUUUAAAUAGUAACUCCUAAACCUUAAACCUAAACUAUAUACCCUAAACCAUAAACCCUAAACUAUAAUGAUAAUUAAUUCAAUAUUUUAAAAUUAAUACUAUCUCUUUUACGAUUAUAUAAGAAAUUAUUUAAUAUAUAAAUUAAAAAAAUCAGUUAUGUACCCAAAAAACAUUAAAAUUAUUUUAAAUAAUAGUAUUUUAAUUUUUUUUCAUUUUUAACAAAUAUUUUUCUAUGUUUUUACUUUCAAAUUUUUUCUACGUGUCAUUAUUUUUUCUGAAGAAUUUAAAUAUUCAAUUAAAAAUAAAUUUUAUUUUAAUUAAUAUAAAUAAACCAGUUAAAAUAGAUAAAUUUUUUUUGCGGCGUUUUUGAUAUAGCGCUGCUUUCUAAAAAGCGCCGCUAAUGCCACUAAAGCUCAACACAAAGCGACGGCGUUGUGUUUAAUUUUUUUGCAGCGUUUUUAAAAAAGCGCCGCUAAUAGUCGACCUAUAGCUGCAUUUUUUCAAAAAGCGCCGCUAAUGCUCGAUCUGUAGCAACGAUUUUUAAAAAGUGCCUCUAAUGCUCGAUCUAUAGCGGCGUUUCUAGAAAGCGCUGUUAAUGCCACUAAAGCUCAACAUAAAACAACAGCAUUGUGCUUAAUUUGUUUACGGCAUUUUUCAAAAAGCGCCGCUAAUGGUCGACCUAUAGCAGCGUUUUUCACCACCGGUCUUUUAAUUAGGUGUGAUUGGUCUUCUAUAAAAUUACCUUCUCUUUAAAAAAAAAAGCUUUACAUUUUUUUAAAAGAUAAUUUUUAGACCUACAUUUAAAAAUUAGAAUAAAAUUGAGUUCGAGAAUUAGUUACGCGUAGGGAAAGUUAUAGCACCCAUGUGAUGCCCAAAAUUGAAGUGAUGCCCAAAAUUGACACCCUGUAAAUUAUGUGUUGUCACAAGUCUCAAAAUUAAAGAUUUUCCAGUUAGUAUUUAAUCACAUUCCCAUUAAAUAAUGAAAGGAAAUAUAUUAACCACCAAAUUUAUUAUUAUUAUUAUUUUUGAGUGAAUCGAGUUUUGAAUAUACACUACACCAAAACAGGCUUUUAGCGGUACUUUUAGCGGCUUUUGGACAAAAAACGCCGGUAAAAAUCGAGAAUUAGUGGCGCUUUAUGGAAAUCGCCACUAAAGAUUGAGCAUUAGCGGCGUUUUUAGGAAAAGCGUCGCAAAAACCUAAGUCUAACGACAUCGUUUUCUAACCUUUCGGGUCUUUAGCGGCGCUUUUGGAAAAGCGCCGCUAAUGCUAGGGGCUUUAGCGGCGUUUUUGGAAAAGCAUCGCUAAAAACAUUUUAUCUUAAUUGGUUUAUUUAUUUAAUUAAAUAAAGUUCAAUUUAUUUCUACUUAAAUAUUUAAAAUCUUCAGAAAAAAAUAAUGACACGUAGAAAUAAUUUGAAAAUAAAACACAUGGAAAAAUUAAAAUACUAUUAUUUAAAAUAAUUUUAAAGUUUUUUAGGUAUAUGAUUACUGAUUGUUUUUUAAUUUAUAUAUUAAAUUUUUUAUAUAAUCGUAAAAGAAAUAGUAUUAAUUUUAAAAUAUUGAAUUAAUUAUCACUAUAGUUUAGGGUUUUUGGUUUAGGGUAUAUGAUUAAUUUAAGAUUUAAGGCAGUUUAGGAGUUACUAUUUUAAGGUUUACGGAGUAUGGAUUUAAGGAUUAUAGAUUAGAGAUUAUGGUUUAAAGGUUGGGAUUCAAGGUUUAAGGUUUAUGAAUUAAUUAUGAUUAUAGUUUAGGGUUUAUGAUUUAGGGUUUAAAAUUUAAGAGUUACUAUUUUAAGGUUUAGGGAUUAUGUAUUUAGGGAUUAUGGAUUAUAGUUUAUGGUUUAAGGGUUGGGGUUUAAGCAAGUUUAGGGGUCAGGGGUCAGGGGUCAGGGGUCAGGGGUUUAAGGUUUAUGUUUUAUGAUUUACGGUUUAGGAGAUUGGGGUUAGGGGCUUAGGGUUUAGACUAAUUGGUAUUUUUUAAUUUAUAUAUUAAAUAAUUUCUUAUAUAAUUGUAAAAGAGAUAAUAUUAAUUUUAAUAUAUUAAAAUUGUGAUUAUAGUUUAAAUAUUUUAAGAGAUAAUAGAUAAAUUUUAUAUAUAUUAAAUGAUUUAGGAUUUAAGGUUUACUUGAGAUUUGUUAAAUGAUGAAAUUUUAUACAAUCAAUUAAUGCUUUUAUAUUUAAAAAUAUUUAAUCUAAACCAUUUGAUAUAUUUAAAUAUAAGAUUUAAAAAAAAACAUUGAUAAAAAAAGGUAACAGAUUGAUAUGGAUAGGUAACUAUCUAUUUUGGAUAAGACCAAAUUAUAACAAAUAAAAAUGAAAUACAAGUACUAAAUCAUUCCACAUCGAACAUCUAGCAAAAUAAUAGUAAUUAUAUUUUAGUUAGAAAAAAAUAUCUCUAAUAAAAUGGAGAUUAGAUCGGAAAAGAAUAAUUUAAAAUCAUGAUUAACGUCUCAAUCUUUAAUAGAAAUUUGAUAUGUGAGAGAUUGAUUGCUUACAUUGGAUAAUUCUAACUUAAUAAUUAAUUACAGUUAUUUUAUCAUUUGUUUUCUUAUUAAAAUAUAAUAUAUUUAUUUUGAGAGUACUUGAUUUUUUUAUUUUAUAAAAAAUCAAUUUAUAAAAAAUAGUAAUAAAAAAUGUUUUAUAAAAUUACUUAACUAAUAAUUUUUAGCAGACAAAAUUAAAAAAUUUUAGCAGAGCAAAACGGCGUCGUUUUGUUCAAAAUGAAAUAAUUUUUUGCGGCGUUUUUAUGAAAAAUGCCGCAAAAAAUCAUAUCACUUUUAAAAAUGGCGCUUUAUCCCAAAAUUUCCCCCUGAAACCCUAAUUUUUCCCCCCUAAAAUUGGUAUCCUCAAAACACGCUUUAAGUGUUUCUCUCUGCCACCACUGUCUUCAUCAUCAUCUUCCCCUCUUUUUUUUUUUAAUUUCAACACCUAACAUACAUGUUUCAUUACGUAAAAGCCAUCUUUAUCUGUUUCUCAUGUGACUCUGAAGCCUCCUUCUUUCCUUCAACAUACCCAAGGUAAAGUUUUCUCAACUUCUUCUCAAUCAUUUAUUUCUAUCUACUUGCCUUUCUGUUUUAAUUCUUCAUGACUUUGGAAUUUCUUGCAUAAAUUACUAUGAAGACAAUAAUAAAAAAAACCCUAUUCUUCUGGCUCCAAUUCGCCUUCUGUUUGUUGAUUGAAUUUUUUUUAAGUUAUUAGGUUUGGACGUUGGUGCUAGGGAGAAGCAAGGAAAUCCUAAAGCAUGUCUUCACUUAAAGUUUCCGCUCAAAUGGAUUAUGAUUUGCAGUACUUACCUAAUCUUUCUAUUUAUUUUAUAUGUUUCUUAUUAUUGGUCCAAUUUUGCAAAGCACUUAAAGCAUUUUUUUUAUCUCUUCUUUGUUAGGCAUGGCCACCUAACAGCUUUCGUUUAUUGGGUUAAUGAGAGAAUACAUUCAAGGUAUAUAGUUUGCUGUUAGUGCUUUUAUGACUUGUGAUAAUGUUCGAGAAUGGUCCUUUCUGGUGCUAGUUUUAAAUGAUGUACAAUUGUUUUUGUUUUUGUUUUUUAAUUCUUAACCCUUCCCCUAUUCCCAACUGUGGUUUGUUUUGUACCAAAGAAUGAAUAUCGAACUGUGGUUUUCUUCCUUAGCUAGGGGAAAUGCAUAGUAUUGAUGCAAAGUUUUUCCCUAUUUUCAGUAGAAGUGUUGAAAGCCAGUCCACUUAUGUUUUUGGAAACUCAAGAAAAAAUAUAUCUUCUGCCUCUCUCUAAAACUCAAGAAAACCCUAGAUUGUUGGGAGUUUUGAUUUAUUUAUGUAGAAAUUUUGUGGAAAUGGUUGCUGAUAAUUGGUUUGGAGGUUGUUGUUGUUCAUUCGGGGGUAUAAGUGAGAAGCUGGUGACUUGAUUUGCAAAUUCCUAUAGAUGUGCUAAGGGUGUGAGUCUUUUCAACUUUACGACGAUUCUUCUUUUAAUUUUCAAAUUAUUUGAAAAUUUUUAAUCAAACACAAUUCUUUAAUGUUUCCGUUUCACAAAAAUGAGAAUGACUUCUAUUUCUUGAAAUCAAAUGAAGCCUUGAGAUAUUUUAUGCAUUAUUUAAGGUUUAAUUUUUUUUCUUGAGUCACAAUGUGGAAGUCAUAUAGUCUAAUUUUUCAUUUAAAAUUGGGUUAAUAAAUAGUUGAUCCAUUUAUCUUAUCUAAAAGUAUUUAAUUCGUAUUUGAACCAUUUUUUUGUACUUAAUUGCCACUUGAAUUUAUAUUCUAUAAGACACGAUACCCCAAUUUGUUAACAACUUAAUAUCAAAUUGCAGAUAUGCUAUUGCUUUCCUAAAUUGCAGAUAUUGCGCUGCUAUCGCUGGGACUGAUUACUGUGUUAUAGCAGCUGAUACUUAAAUGUCUACCGGUCACAAUAUCCUCACCGGUGACUACUCCAAAAUCUCCAAAACUGUAUGUUCUUUACCCAUCCUUCGCUUUGACAAUGCAAAACUUAAUAGAGAAACUUGAUUGUAAUGGUGUUUUGGCACUAAAGGGAUUUUCUUUUUUGCACUUUUAUGUCGUAAUUAGUAGGAAGGUUGGGUUUUAGUCUCCAAAACUGGUAAGCUACUUUGAAUAAAAGGAAGAAAGCUUUAGAGAGAAAUUAAGAAAUUUUGUGAAAUUUGCUACUAAGUUUUUGUUGCCUCCUAUGGUUGAAGAAGUAGUAAAACUACUUCAUUCUUUUUCUUUUUCUUUUGUGAAAUUUGUUUACCAGUCAUGGAAUUUUAAUUUAGUUUUUGCCUCCAUUUACAAAAGCCACUAGCAGCUAGCUACUUGGUUAGAUUUUAACUUUCAAAGAUAUGAUGAUGUAAAUUUGUUUUUUCAUAUCAAUGUUGGCUUCACUUGACUUUUUUUUUGUUGUUGCAGUAGAAAUUGUUCUACAGUAAUUGCAAAAGACAAAGGCAUUUAAUUUUGAUAUAGAUUAGGAAUCUAAGAACAAAACUAUGGCAUCACUAAAUCUAGUGAACAUUCUUCUACAGCUAACAUAAUGAACAUAUGAUCCUGUUGGUGCUUUCUCAAGAAUAUGGAUUUGUCAGCACCAACACAAGAAGCAAAUGAGCUGCCCUGCAAAGGCUCAACUGCUUUCCAACACCCUUUAUUAUUACAUUUUACAAGCACUUGUUUCCUUAUUAUUCUUAUUAAUGUUUUGGGGGGGGCGUUGAUUACGAGGGUAUCUUCUUUUAGUUGCUAGCUUUAAGCCUUUCUUUUCUCUCUUUGAAUAUGAAAUAAAAUUCUUAUGUUAAACCAUUUCGAAAGGGUUGUGUCUUCACAUAUGAUGCCAUACGUUAAAAUUGGUGUUAUCCCACAUUAUUUAAAGUUAAACCUUCCCAAUAGCCAAUUGUUUUUAGGUUAGAUGCUUAAUAUGUUAUCGAAGCUAGGAUUAUAAUUUGUUCUUCUUGCUUGGUACUCUUCUUACUCUUUGUUAGUUCGUCACAUGAUUGGCUCUUUUGUCUCGGUUUACUUACGAUGGUAGAUUAACAGAUGAUUCCAAGUUUGUCCUCAAUAUUCAACCCAUUUGUUUCUAUUUUUUGUAAUUAUUUUGACUGGAAAUGUAUAUUGAUUUAUUGUGUUUUUUUUCCUUUUGAUUUUUGGCGACUUAAUAAUAAGGCUUCACGGUUUAAUAUUGGUAGAUCUUUACAUUUAUGACUAAAGUUAGAUAUGUUUCAAAGCUAGAAAGUAGAGUUGCAGCAAUGGAUGAAUCUAUUGUAAGUUAGAUAUAGCUCUUAUUGUGUUUAUUGAAGAAAAAGAAUCGCUUAAUUCCCAUUAUUGAGUUUAGAGCCAUGGUAUUAGUCUAAGUAGAAUGCGAAUUCGAAUUGAAUUAUGCAAUGGAAAAGCUUUCAUAUUGUAUUAUCUAAUAAUAUCUUAUUAGAAGAAAAUUGGAAAAUUCAUGUAUCUAAAUCUAACAUCUGCAAGCGUUAAGAUUUUAAUUUGGUUUGUUAACUUGUUCACCUUGUUGAUGUCAAAAUUUGUCUUCAUGAGUUUUUGAGCUUCCCAGCAUUUCAUUGUUAUACUAAUUGAUUAGUUGACCCUUUGAUUUUAUGGGAGCUCAAGAACUUAAGGCCCCAGCUUUAUUUAGCUGUUGAGUACUGCGAAAAGUCGUAUCUCCAUAAUGAGCAGAAGCAGAUGUAAGGUUACCUAUUUUACUUGAAUACUUGCUUAGUUCCUUCAUUGUUUGUUUAACAGCCUUCUCAUGUUCAUGCAAGCAAUACCAUAAUUGAUUUCAGAAUUUGAUCGAUUACCACAAGUACUCAACAUUUGGUUAAGUUUAUGUAUCUUUUAUUCAAAGAUUUAUCACUAUUUAUUUCUUUUUUAUGAUAAGGCCAUAACUUAGUAGUAGAAAGGAAAUUAGGGGAAUUUUUUGAUCCCUUGUUUAAGUGUCAUUGGAUGUAGUUUUCUUUAUAUUUAUUCUAAUUUAUUUUGUGGAUUUGUUCAUACAUAUAUAUUAGUUAUUAGUUAUCAGUCAGAUAGUUCAUUGUAAUAAUUGAUCACGUUUGUAUCUACAGUCGAAUGCAUUGAUUGUAAUUAUUAUUGUAAUUUAAUGGACUAUGUUUCUUUUUCUAGCUGAAUUAGAAAUGUAUUACAACUUUUCGGAUGCUCUUUUUGUACCAAAAUAGGUUUUGUCGUCUCUUUUCAUGUUGGGGAGGGUUUGUUCUCACUUUUUUUUGGUUGAGGUAGUAUUCUCUUAUGUUAGAUAAAGUUUAUAAUUCAUUUCUCUUCAAUUGCAGGGGCAAAUGCUUACUUCUUUGGAAAAGGUAUGCCGAUUAUGCUGUAUAUUGAAUAUUUGAGUUUCUGAUAUUCUAUUGAGUUUUGAACUGAAUUCUACAUUGGAGGUGGUAGAAUGGUUUGCGUUACAGACCAAUGUGCAAGGCGGUCAAGUUUAUAUCUUAAUUCUCCCCUCUGAUUGGCAAAGGAUCAUGUUCUGCUCAUGCCCGAAAAUAGUUUCUAGCAUAUGUUGGAAAAGCAAAGACUACCGGAUGGUUGGAUUGAUCAUUUCAUUAUGGCAAUUCCAUAAACAGUAAAGAGAAUGGGGCCAGCCAAUAAUAAUGAGUAAGUUUUCUCCUCCUUUGCUGUACCCCAUUUUAUAUAACAUUAGAUAUACAAAAAUGGUUAUGAUGUUGGGAUUUGAAUCCCAGAUGCCACGUCUUGAAGGUGUUUGCAUGAGCCAUAGGUUGAAUGCAAACUUCGAUUCUAAUUUAUUAAUCCCGAUCAUUCCACUCUUAUCAAAGCUGACAUGCUCAAUUGUUUUUACUCUUAAAAUUAAUCACUCGUAGGUUUACAGGGAAGUUGAGUUCCUUCAACCUGUGCCCUGGUAUUGUAGAGAAUAAGUUAAGAAUUGACUUAAAUUUAAACAUUUGCCUGACACACGCUGCAUUAUUGUUGAAGUCAACAUGUUUUGUUUUGUUUUGCUUUUGCCAGUACAGCUGCCGUAGUUAUGUAAAGAGAAUGGGGCCUGCCAAUAAUAAUAAGCAUGUAGGCACUAAAUCUGCAGUUCAAAUUCGAAGCCAUGCUCAAAAGUUUUUCUCUAAGGCUCAUUGCUUUGAGUUCAUUACAAGAUUUCCUUGAUUAAGUAAAUGUAUUAUAUCUUUUAUUACCAAGAUUUACUUGAUUAAGAAAAUGAAUUGUAUUUUUUAUUACAUUGCAAUGUGUAUAGUUAUAGGUAGGUUCAACUAGUCAGUCUGUUUCUCAUAUGUAUUAUUUAUUUUAGUUUUGAUUCUAAAUUUUUAUUUUUACUUUAAUAUUUAUGACAACUUAAGUUUUAACUUUUUGAUUUUAAUUGUGUUAUUAAUUUAUUAUUUUAAAUUCUAAAACUAAAUUCAUUAAUUUUUAUAUUUAGUUUUAAAGUUAAAAUUUUCAUAGAAAAUUUAAUUUAAAUAAUAGUUUUUAUUUAUCCUUAAAAGUAUAUUUAAAGUUUAAAUUUAAAAAAUAAAACAUAAUAUAAUAUUUAUCAUAAAAAUAAAUAUUAUUUGAUUAAAAUAUUUUUUUAAAUGUUAUGUUUUUAGCGGCGUUUUUGCGAGAAGCGCCGCUAAAGGCAAACGCCGCUAAAGGUCAUGGUAUUUAGCGGCGUUUUUUCACAUAAACGCCGCUAAAUUUAGCGGCGUUGUCUAUAAUGGCACUUUUUUCGUCGUUUGUGAAAGCGCCGCUAAUACUUUUAGUGGCGCUUAAGAGCGCCGCUAAAGGCCUAAAAAAUGCCGCUAAAAGGCUAUUUUGCUGUAGUGAUACGUAUGUAUGCAUAACAAGAGAAAAUCUUUGGUACAUUGCAGUGGAAUUUUUAGACUCCACAAACAAGGUUAGGUAGUUGACAAGUGUAUUAUAAGGGUAUAGUAAAAUAUUAAGAAAGUAAAUAUUUAAAAAAAAAAGACAUAACAAAUUUUCAAGGCUACAUGUGGAAUAAAAAAAAAUAAACUGUGAGUGUACCAAAUAUUAACCCAAAUAACAAAUAAUGUAAGUAUUUAACAUCUUCCUACAUCUCUCGAAUCGACGAAAUAUAGGAGUUUUUAAACUAAAAUUUUUAUUCACUCAAUUUUGAGAAGGAUGUCUCGUGAUUAAAUAUAAUCGAUAAAAUCUCUCCCAACAAGGUAAAAGAAUCACAGAUUAUAUUAACCCCGAAAAUAUUUCCUUAUAUACAAAAACUUUUUAAACUAUGCUCAACAAAGUGAAAUCAAGAUGAAUCACCAAGCUCCCCUUUAUAACUUAUUACUCUAAAAAUAAAUAACAAAAGAGAUUAAAGAGAUAUGAGAGUCAAAGAACCAAAUACACAUCAUAAGGAAGAAGCUUGUAAGACAAAAAAAAAAAUUGUAUCCAAGCAUUGAGUACAUCAUACACAACAAAGUGAAAUCAAUACAUUGGCAUCACAUAGAGAAAAAAACAAAUUAACUUGUAUAUAAAAUACUAAUGAAAGUGUCCUCAUGUUCUUGCUCUUCCUUUCUCCUCUGGAUCGUCUUCGACCCUUGUGUUUGUGUCAAAAAUCAUGUCACAUUUUCUCUCCAUUCCUCUUGUAAGCAGUCAAAAUUAAAUUGUAUUUUUCACUAUAAUAAAUAGAGAUAUAUAAAUAUAUAAAAAUUAAAUAACAAAUAUAUUUAUAAAAAUAAUAUAAAAUUAAGAUAUUGCUUUAGUUCAAAUGGAAAAUGAAAAUAUUUUACAAUUCAAAUUUCACUAUGAAUAAAUUAUUAUUAAUUUAUAAAAAUAUAAAAAUUAGAUAAUUCCCUGUCUGAGUUGUGAACUAUGCAAAUCAUAAAUUUUAUUAGAUCACAAGCAAACAAAAACUAAUAAAACUAAGAGUUGAACUAGAAAUUAUAAGCAAACAAAAACUUCAUUAGGUCACCAACAAACAAAUCACAUCAAAUAUACAUUAAAAUCAAAACAAUGAAUACAUCAACCAAUUGUCAUAAGGAAAAAUUAAAGUAGAAAAAGAAAAAAAAUCUCCACCUUUUCUCUAUCUUUUUUCCAUCUCCAUAAGAGUUGUAUGGCCUUUAGAGAGAAUGAAUAAAAGAAGACAAAAGAACUCUACAUAACCCCCAAUAUUGAAAUAUCAACAACCAAUACAAUUCAUCCAUUUUAAAAGAGGAGACCAAACGCAAGAGCGACAAGGGAAGCAAAUGCCGUCGGCACGAAUGCGGUGGCAUCUGAGGUAGGAGUAGGGGCCGGUGCAUCAGCUGCCGCAACAUAUUGGACCGCUGACAUGGCCAUCAACACCACCAUCAUAGCCAAAAAUAGUCUUAUCCUCAAUGCCUCCAUUUGUUGGUGUAGUCUCUUCGUGGAUUUUGUUGCAAAAGUGAGGAAUAUGAAUUGGAGACAAGCAGUAAUGGGGGUGCCAUAAAGCCCCAUUUAUAUACAUCUCGUGCUGGCCAGUUUUCAAUUAGUGUAACUUUUAAUUUAGUUAUUAUUGGUUUGGGCUGCCCGUUAGUUGGGACAGGGUGGCUUUAAGUUCAACUUUAGAUGCCAUACAGCUGUUGCCAACGGUCUUUUUGGGCGUUGCUUGGAGAGGGUCCCUUGUCUUUGCCCACUUGCCUUAUCUACCACUUUUUUCGGGGGCAGUGUGGGCUGUUCAAUUCUUAUUUUACAAAAUUUUGGACUACUAUAUAAGGACUAUUUUGACCCUAUGAGCAGGCGUGUUCUGUGGUUUGAGUUCAACUUCUUUUAUGGCAAUCUUGGUAUUUGAUGUCCUUAAUUAAUUAGAGAUUUGUUUAUCGGAAAUAUAGGGCUGUUGGGACCCUUUCUCUUUUUUUGGGUUCAAUAUGUUGGGAACCCUUUCAUUCACCGUUAUCAUUUCCCCCAACUAUCAUAUGCCUUCUCAAUGUGUGCCUUUGCAUAUCCUAUUUCAUUAUUUUUAUCUUUAGUUAAAAUUAAUUUGUUUUUCAAUUAUUAUUGUUUGUGUAAUUAUUUUAUUUAUAACAAUGAUUAAUAUUUGUAUUUGAAUAUUUUAUAUCUAAAAAUAUUAUACAUAUUUAUUGUUGUUUCAUGAACAUGUUAAAUUAUAUGUUCAUAAACAUGCGUUUUUAAUACUUACGAACAAACAAAUGUGAACAGACUAACUGGUGAUUGGAAAAGGUAAGAGUGGACUUCUUCCCUAAACAUUUGAACCAAUUUCGAAAUUUGGAGUCAUCAUGGUUGAGAGACUUUUACUUGAAUAUCAGUCUUGGCCCCACCAAAAUAGUAUUAAAUCUAAAAACGAAUGAAGACAUUUGUGGUUAUAAAAAAAUAAAUCAACUUAAGAAACACAAGUUGAAGAUAAACAAAUGAGCAUAAACAAAAGUCUGGUUUAUCUACAGCCCCAGCUUUAGAGAUCACUAUUCAAUUAUAAUUAGGAAUUAUGGGAACAAAAAUUGAAUAUACUCAAAAAGAUUCAUUAAAUUUUUAAAAUUUAAAUUAAAUAGUUUAAGUUUUUCGAUAAGGAUGUAAAAACAUAAAGCUCUAUUAUUAGUAAUUUAGUUUCUUGUUUCUAGGAUUUGUUUUAUUGUUGUAAUUAAUUUCUUAUCAGCAUAUUAAAUUUAUUGUAAUUUUCUAAAAUUUAUUUUUUCACAAAUAAUAUAAAAUAAUGGUGUCUAAAUACUAUUUAGAGACUAUAUUUUAAUAUUGUAAGAAUACUAUAAAUUACGUUCUCCAAAACUGAAAAUUCCCAAAAAAAAAACGAAAUAAAUCAUUGCUUUAUUAUAUAUAUGAUAUGUAUGUGUAUAUAUAUAAUAUAUAUUAUGUUAAAUAUCAAGUUUACUAAUUGAAAUUGGAUUCUCAUAUGAAAUCUAAAUUAUAAAAUUAAUUACUGAUUUAUCCAACACUAAUUGAUUGAUAUGUGAUAUUAGUAAUUUAGAACCCUUAUUUUUUUUUUUUAAAGAAAUAUUGUGCGCAUCUUUUAAAUUUACAAAUUAUUUCAACUUUUUAGAAACAUUUUUUUUGUAAUGUUUUAAGAUUAUUAAACAUCUAUAUUAACUUUAUCGAUCAUAUUAUAAUAUAUCAUAAAAAAAUUUUAAAAAUGCAUGUGAAAUAAAUAAAAAAAUACCAUAUACCUUCAGAACUAACUAAAGUUUUAUUUUUAUUUUUUGACUUCUGCAGGGAUUGUAUUAUAGACUCCACUUCAAAUCAGCAAUGAAAGGAAAUUUGUUUAUUAAAAUUACUUAAUUGAAUAUUUUUGACGAAAACCACGCGUUUAAUUUCUAUAACAUUUAGAGAGAAAUUUUUUAUUUUUAUUUUUAUCAGCAUAAAAUUAGCGCUGAAAUUUACAUUUUUCCACAGCAGAAAUACAAAUUGAAAUCUGAUUCACAACCUAAAUUACCGCAUUUAAAUAUUUUUAGUGGAUUUCCAAUACUAUAUGGCUUUAAUAUUGAUUGUUUUAUUAAUAUUUAAAAUAAUGAUAAAUGUAAUAGGCCCAAUUUGCCGGGCCCAAAAGCACAAAUAAACCAAAAUAAAAUAAAAACCAAUAGCAGUCCUUGUAAAUGUUAAGUAUUACAAAACCCAAUACAAUAUAAACCUAACCCAUUACCUAAUUGCAUUACCCAACACCAGGCCCAAAUUACAAACCCAUUACAGCCCAAAAUCAAAACCCAGUCUAGCCCCAGACUUUCCAAGCACCAAAAACCCUAAUAGCAACAGGAGCCUCCUGCGCCGCUCCACGCACGCCUGCCUUCGCACGUGCACCACCGCCUCCACGCCCAGCUAGCGCCGUACGCCUAUACCUGCGCAGCAAACAGACAAACAACACCAACAAGAGCAACAGAAAAUAUAAAAUAGAAAAAAUAGCAGAGAAAAGGACAUGUAUUUUUAUUUUUUUUUUGUAUUUAUUUUUUUCUCUUCAAUUCGAUUGGGAUAUAAGGUCGAUUCAAACAUUGUAAACGAAUGGAGAGACAAUAUCAAUACACAGAAGAGGAGAAUACUGUAUCAAAAAAACACGAAUUAAUACAAAAGGUUUUCUGUUCCUCUUUCCCAUUCGGUUUUUUUUAGUCCCUUGUUUUCUUUCUUUUUUGUUCAUCAUAUAAAAUAUAAGAGCAUAUAUAUAUAAGAUAUAAGAAAUAAAAAAGGGAGAGAAGCGUACCUUGUGGUCGGUCUUGCCUUCUACUCCGUCGCAAUCGGAGCCGGAAGGAGAUCAAAGGCACGAAACGGCGCAGCAACGAGAGGAAGCUUGCUUAGGGUUUGCUUCAAAUGGCAGAUUAGGCUUAGUUUAGGGUUUUCUUUUUUUUUUAUGCUGAUUAUUGAAACGGCAGCGUUUCAAGCAUGUCUCAGUAGGUUUGAAAACGGCGCCGUUUAAAGGCCCUCGACCCGCGCGGUGACCCGACCCAACGGAAGGAUCCGCGCGUUUUUGCUAAAUGGUUUAUUUACGCUGCAGGCCCUCCGUGCUUGGGUGUUGUUUCGAUUCAGUCCUUUUUAAUUUAUAUAGUGUAUUUGAUUACGAUUUCAUUUAAGUACUUCCUUAAACGGUGGCGUUUUUGUUCUCUGGAUUUGAAUUCUUGAAGUUGUGCGCUUAAUUGUCACUUUAGUCCUUAGUUUUGAGUUGAUUGUAAUUUUAGUCCUUUGAAUGUUGUAAUUUUAAUGCGAUUACCUUUUUUAUUAUUCUUAUUUUUUCUAGUAUUUCAUUUAAUUUUGUAAAUGUUUAUUGUUUUUUUACGACAACUAAACCUUUUAUUAUUAUUAUUAUUAUUAUUAUUAUUAUUAUUAUUAUUAUUAUUAUUAUUAUUGUACUUUAAAUUAAGUUUCAAUUCAAAUUUAGUUUUUAAUAGCAUAAUUAAAUUGGAUUGGUAUCUAUUUUUUUAAAAUUUAUUAAUAGUAUAUUUUAACAUCCGCUUGACAUUGUUUUUAAGUUAUUUAAUAUAAUUUUAAGAUAUUAUUAUUUUUUAGUUAUUAUUUUUAAUUUAUCAUACAUUUUUUUUAAAAAUCUAUUAUAUACUAUUAUUUUAAAAUUUAUUUUGUAUUAUGUCUAGUCAUAUAUUCAUUAUCACUUUGAUUAAUCAUUUUUUUUAUGUAAAUUCGUUAUAUCAUGUAUACAUUCUUUAAAAAUUUUAUUCUAUAAUAUUUUUCUUUAAUUUCACUCAUUAUAUUUUUUUAUUUGUAUAAAAGUUUUUUUAAACGUAAUAUUAUUAUAUAUAUGUACAUAAUUAUUUUUUAUUAAAAAAAACAUAUAUCUUCCUCCAUAUUUUGUAUAUUUCAACUUUUACAUAUUAUUAUAUAGAUUAUUAUUUUUAUAAAGUUUUUCAAUCCCUAUGCAUUACUUAUUUAAAUUAAUACAUGUAAAUUAUUACGUACCUUAAUUUUCAUAACACUUGUUUCAAAAUUCAUCUAAAUAUUAUUAUUCAUGUAGUAGGUCUUUGAAGUUGGUUAAUGAUUCGUUUAAUCUUUGACAGCGUGUUUGGUUCGCUAUAAUGGGUAUGCGGUUACCCAUCUAUUACGCGCGCCCCACCCAUUCCUUUGUUUGGUUUGGGGUAAUGCUAUUACACCCUGAUUCCGUUCCGCAUCUAUUACGGACGUUGGCUGUAAUAGCCAUUCUGAUCUUCAAGCACGGAUUAGGGAUUCCCCCCCAAUUCCUUACCAUCUUUUCCAUUUUCUGCCCUCAUCCUCUCCGAUGUUUUGCAAGGUAAUUUUUUUCCCUUCCAUCGAUUUCUGCUUCUUUUAUUCUCGUACGUUUCUUUUCUUCUCACGUUUUUUUCUUUUCUCCAUUUUGUCAAAGAAGAUGACAACAUUGAAAGCCAAAGGGAGGGCGAGGGCAGUGGAAAUAGAAAGGAAAAAUGAGCUUAAAACAUCACCAUAAUUCCAACUCCGCAACAGCUGCUUAAUCUCUCUCUUUUGAUGACAUUGCCGACUUCUUCUCUCUUCCCCUUGACGACGCUGCUUCCACUCUUGGUAUUUUAUUUCUAAGCAUUUUCUUGGACAAUUCAGUUACUUUGGUGUUUUUUAAUUUAUGAUUUCUAUAUUCAAUCUUCAUCCCUCAGGCGUUUGCACCUCUGUUCUCAAGAAAAUCUGCCGUGAAAAUGGUCUCGACAGAUGGCUUCACUGCAAGGUAACCUUGCUACCCCUUUCUUUGCUCCAUCCUUUUGCGUCGCUUGUCUUUCAUCCCAUGUCUCAGAUUCCCAUCGAAUGUUAGAUAUUGUCAUCUUCUUUGAUGGGUGGUUUAGAUUUUUAGUAUACAACAAGAAAUUUCUAUUCUUUAUACAUGCUUUACACUCUCUACAGUUAAAAAGGCAUGGUUUUUUUCUUCAUUCUAUUUUCCCCUUUUGUUUGGGGCUGAAACAUUUUAAAUGGCUAUCUACUAGAUUCAUAUUGUUACAAAUUCUUUUUAAAAAUUAAAUUUAUGGUUGAACCCAAGCCUAGAGGUAAAUGUUUUUCUGAAACUAUUGACUUGUCUUAGCCAGAUGUAGGUUUAGCUGCAGCUAUACUGAUGCAGAACCUCAGCAGGAUAUCUAUGGUAUUCUCUUGUUAAUUUUCUCGGGCUUUGCAUGUUAUUGUAUGUGUGAGUUUGUUUGUAUUGUGACCUCUGGUUUUGAAAUGGGGUUAUGAAUAUCACUAUAAACAGUUUUAUUUGCUAAAUUGCACUUGAUCACCUCUAUUGGAAGGGUAAAUUGACAAAUUGCUAUUAAUUAUCUUUUCAUUUUUAGUCACAUGUAUGCUAGAUACAUAUGCAUUACUUUUCUUCUUUUUGUCCUACUCCUGCCAUAAUUUGAAUAUACAAGUACUCAGAGCUACUUGAAUAACUGCCCCCUCUACUUAUUAUGAGAAAUUAAGACAUAAGAAUAAUCGUAAAAGUGGUUAGGUCCCUCUUUGGUUCCUUUUUAGAACUUAAAAAAAGUCUACUAAAAUAAUAAGAAGAAAAAGGAACGGAAGAAUUUUAAGGUGAUUCUUGAUUGGAUUUAGUUUUCUUUAAGGGUUUGUAUUGUGUUUAUUUCCUUCUUCACGUAGCAUUUAUAACCAUUUCUCAAAAUAUUCAUCAUAAACUCUUUUGUACAACUUGUAUAAACGUUUCUGCACUAUUUUUCAUCAUCUUUUUCUUUAAAAUUCAGAAUUUCUGUAAUUUGUAGCUAAGGGAGAUGAAUAUCACAAAUUUAGAGAGAGUGCCGCGUUUAUAGCAAUAUGUAUAUUUGUUAUUUCUAUAAACCAAAUAUAUACAUGCAUACAUACAUACAUAUAUGAACAUCAUGAAUACAAGUUGCAUUGCUCCAUAUGAAUUUUUUGUAAUUGAUAUGAGUACAGUUGACUAUUUGAUGGUAGAAUGAAUGUUCUUCUACAGGCUGCUACUGCAUAUUCAAAGGGAGAGUUGGAGUACGCGGCUUAUCUUUCUGAUCAGGUGUGUUUUCUACUUGGGGGAUGUUAUGAAUCAUGUGUUGCAUAUAAGUUCAAGAUGUGAUGCCAUGUCAUUGGCAAAUUUUGAAAAGGAAACACUGGCAGCAAAAAUGAAGCAACAUGAGAACUGGGGAUAAUAUCUCAUAAUUUUUUACUUGUCUUCUUCUUUGCUUGACAUAAAUAUGAUGUCUUAUGUCAAAACUCAUGCCAAGGGUUGGCUUUAAAAUAAAAUUCUGACUUGAUAAUACCUUGCAUCUGAGUAGGAAAAGAUACAAAAUAAAUUGGCACGGGAAGCAGAUGAAAGGGCAAGCUAGAAUAUAUUUAAAGCUAGGUUAGUCCUUGUAUAACUAACUGAAAGGGUAAACAAGAACUANNNNNNNNNNNNNNNNNNNNNNNNNNNNNNNNNNNNNNNNNNNNNNNNNNNNNNNNNNNNNNNNNNNNNNNNNNNNNNNNNNNNNNNNNNNNNNNNNNNNNNNNNNNNNNNNNNNNNNNNNNNNNNNNNNNNNNNNNNNNNNNNNNNNNNNNNNNNNNNNNNNNNNNNNNNNNNNNNNNNNNNNNNNNNNNNNNNNNNNNNNNNNNNNNNNNNNNNNNNNNNNNNNNNNNNNNNNNNNNNNNNNNNNNNNNNNNNNNNNNNNNNNNNNNNNNNNNNNNNNNNNNNNNNNNNNNNNNNNNNNNNNNNNNNNNNNNNNNNNNNNNNNNNNNNNNNNNNNNNNNNNNNNNNNNNNNNNNNNNNNNNNNNNNNNNNNNNNNNNNNNNNNNNNNNNNNNNNNNNNNNNNNNNNNNNNNNNNNNNNNNNNNNNNNNNNNNNNNNNNNNNNNNNNNNNNNNNNNNNNNNNNNNNNNNNNNNNNNNNNNNNNNNNNNNNNNNNNNNNNNNNNNNNNNNNNNNNNNNNNNNNNNNNNNNNNNNNNNNNNNNNNNNNNNNNNNNNNNNNNNNNNNNNNNNNNNNNNNNNNNNNNNNNNNNNNNNNNNNNNNNNNNNNNNNNNNNNNNNNNNNNNNNNNNNNNNNNNNNNNNNNNNNNNNNNNNNNNNNNNNNNNNNNNNNNNNNNNNNNNNNNNNNNNNNNNNNNNNNNNNNNNNNNNNNNNNNNNNNNNNNNNNNNNNNNNNNNNNNNNNNNNNNNNNNNNNNNNNNNNNNNNNNNNNNNNNNNNNNNNNNNNNNNNNNNNNNNNNNNNNNNNNNNNNNNNNNNNNNNNNNNNNNNNNNNNNNNNNNNNNNNNNNNNNNNNNNNNNNNNNNNNNNNNNNNNNNNNNNNNNNNNNNNNNNNNNNNNNNNNNNNNNNNNNNNNNNNNNNNNNNNNNNNNNNNNNNNNNNNNNNNNNNNNNNNNNNNNNNNNNNNNNNNNNNNNNNNNNNNNNNNNNNNNNNNNNNNNNNNNNNNNNNNNNNNNNNNNNNNNNNNNNNNNNNNNNNNNNNNNNNNNNNNNNNNNNNNNNNNNNNNNNNNNNNNNNNNNNNNNNNNNNNNNNNNNNNNNNNNNNNNNNNNNNNNNNNNNNNNNNNNNNNNNNNNNNNNNNNNNNNNNNNNNNNNNNNNNNNNNNNNNNNNNNNNNNNNNNNNNNNNNNNNNNNNNNNNNNNNNNNNNNNNNNNNNNNNNNNNNNNNNNNNNNNNNNNNNNNNNNNNNNNNNNNNNNNNNNNNNNNNNNNNNNNNNNNNNNNNNNNNNNNNNNNNNNNNNNNNNNNNNNNNNNNNNNNNNNNNNNNNNNNNNNNNNNNNNNNNNNNNNNNNNNNNNNNNNNNNNNNNNNNNNNNNNNNNNNNNNNNNNNNNNNNNNNNNNNNNNNNNNNNNNNNNNNNNNNNNNNNNNNNNNNNNNNNNNNNNNNNNNNNNNNNNNNNNNNNNNNNNNNNNNNNNNNUUAUAUAAUGCGUCCUUCGAGUAACUGGACAAUAUAAGAAUAAUUAUAUUGAAUUUUAUUAAAUUAUAUAUUUUUAUUAAAUUAUAUUUAAUAAUAAUUAUUUUAAAUUAUAUUUUAUAGUAUUAUAUAUUAUGAUUUUAGUAAAUUUAUAUAAGAAUAUUUAAUACUAAGAAUUUUAUUAAAUUAUAUAAUUUUAUUAAAUUAUAUUUAAUAAUAAUUAUGUUAAAAUAUGAUUAAAUUAUUUAUUAUUUAUAUUAAUAAACUUAUUAAAAUUUAAUAACAAUAACAAUAAUCAUCUACCUAAAUAAAAUUCUACUAAGGGUAUUCUAGUCAUUUUAGUUUUUUUACUUAUGCUAUUACACCUCUAUUCCAUUCAACCAAACACAAGAAUACCAUUACGCCUCUAUUCCAUUCCAUUUAACCAAACAAAAGAAUUACCUAUUACGCAUCUAUUCCAUUACGCAUCUAUUCCAUUACGCCUCUAUUCCAUUACAGCGAACCAAACGUGCCCUGAAUGUUGUACAAUGUGGGAUAUGAAAUUAUCGCUUCUAUGUAUUGUAUUGCUUAUUUACUUGGUUAUUCUUCAUACAUUAGUGUAUAUUUAAAUUUACGAAUUAUCACUUCACGAUGUGCAUUAUUGCUCCAUCAUACUUUAUUCGUUUAAAAGGUUAUGCUUAAUAUCAUUUGAGUAUCAAAACCAAGUUAUUCAAAAAUCUUCAAAAUACUCGAAGUUUGGAAUCCUCAAGUGAAUUGAGCCCUAACGUAUUGGGUUCCAAUUUUCCUCGUCGAAUCUAAAUAAUCGAAAAUUUUCAAACAUACAAAUUUCAAAUAAAAACCCAUUCUCAGGAAUUCGACACGUUGUGUCCUAACGCAUUGGAUAUGACAUGUUAUUUUCUCGAGACAUGGAUUUUAAAAAUAAAGGCAAUAUUCGAUAUUUAGGAAUUUUGUGAAAUCGAGCCCUAACUUACUGGGUUUUGAUUUUCUCAUUUGACCCAAAUAAUCAGAUAUCUUUCUCAAAAUGCAUAGGUUUUUAAAGUCAAGAGAUAAAUUUAAUUUUGAGGAUUUAAAAUGUUGCACUCUAACUUACUGAGUGUGACGAUUUAUUUCUUUGAAAUAAGUGAAUCUCAUUGUCUAAUUCAUUUUAUUCAAAAUAAAAGGAUCGUAUUUCAAAAUCUUUUCAAAAUUUUGACAUUAAGACAUUAUACAAUCGAUUCGGUACCAAUUUUGGGCAUUACGAGGGUGUUAACUCUUUCUCGUGCGUAACCGACUCCCGAACCUAUUUUUCUCAAAAUUCGCAGACCAAAAAUUAUUUUCAGGGUGAUCCGAUCACACCACAAUAAAAGAUCGGUGGCGACUCCCCAUUUUAUUUUUAAAGUUGAUCCCCAUUUUUCAAAUCUCAUUAAAAAUGGUUUCGACAAUAAAUAAAACAAAUUAAUGGUACGGUUUCGGAUUAAUGGCACAUAUUUAUAUGAGAAAUAUUAAUGACAAUAUAUAUCUAUAAUGAUUUUUAAUUUUAACUAUACUACAUAAAAUUUUUGUCUUAUUUGUUCUAAUUAAAAAAAAUCCAAUUGAAAGAUAUCACUUUUCUAGUAACUAAUCAUUAGGAUAUAACCAUACAUAUACAAAAAAUGGAAAUUCAAUGUUUAUGAGUAGUAGAUGAGAUUUUUUAGCAAAGGUAGUUUGCCAAAGUCGCAAUUUCGGGGGAGGGGGUUUCUCCUAUUAGGGUUCUUUUCUUCUGCGGAAGUAGUAGUUUCAUGGGGUUUUUUCUUUGAUUAGAGAAAAAAUGUUUUUUCUAGUGUUUUGUUCCAAGAAAAAAUGAUAAAUCUUAUCAAAUCAAUAACCUUUUGAAGAUGAGCUAGCAAAUUUUAAUAUUGCCAAUGAAGAAGAAGAAGAAGAUCCAGCUCUAGGGCAUGAAGAUGAGUUCAAUCUAUGCCUAGUAGGAUGAGUUCUAACUGAUAGCGCUGUACACUUUCCAUCAAAUGAGGAACGUUCUUGUAGAGUUAUGGUAUCCAUUAAAAGGAGUUUCCAUUAUAGAAAUCGAAGAAAGAAGAAUUUUGUUCAGAUUUUAUAACAAGAUAGAUCUGAAAAGGGUAAUAGAUGGUAUACCUUGGUUUUUCAACAGACACUUGAUUAUUUUUCACCAAUUGUUAAAAAGAGAGGAUCCGAUACAAGUCCCCCUAUUCCACACUAUUUUUUUUGGUGCAAAUUCAUAUUUACCAAUAGAAUCUAUGUUUGAUGGAAUGGCACGAUAGUUGGAGAACUUCAUUGGAGAAUUCCUAGAGUACGAUACAAUGUUAAUAACAAGGGGAAUAAAAAAGUUUAUGCUCAUCAAGGUGUAAUUGGAUAUUCGAUCCCCACUAAGGAAGAAGAAACGUAUCAUCUAUAGUCAAAAUUGAUAAACUUAUGCAAAUUUCCAAUACGAAAAAUUACCCAUUUUCUAUUUUUUAUGUGGAAGACUAGGAUAUAGAGAUAGUUUUUGUCCAAUUCGUUUAACACUGGGUUCGCAAGAGGCGGAUGGUGGGUGGGAUAUCUCACUAAGAGUUCCACCGAGAAGAACAACACAAGUUACAAGCAGAUAGUUGAUAGAAGAGUCGAGAGAGGUGGGAAAAAUUGGAAUGGAAGUGGACAGGAGUAGGGAUAGAAGGCAUGUUGGGGUUUUGCUUAUUGAACAAACAACCAAAACAGGAGAUAAAUGGAUAUAGGACAUUAUGAUCGGGAAGGAGAGAAAAUGAGGCAGAUUAAAUGUAGAGCAAAGACUUGGAACAAGGGGAAUAUCAUAUUACAAUUAUUUGAAGGCAGCAAAUAUAGAGUUGGAAGAUAGACCGAUAGGCUUAAUGGAUGGGAAAAAAAAGGCAACGAAUGCAUCAAGUGGGGGAGAAGAGUAACAGUACCCAAUGGAAAUAGAACUAGACAAUAAAUUAUCGGUGGCCACUAGCAAGUAAGUCAAUCUGUCACAAUGAAAACCUUAAGUUAGAAUGUUCGUGGUUUGGGGCAACUGCGGACAAUUAGAUGUCUCAAAAAUAAAUUGAGACAAAUUUAGCCUUAGCUUUUGUUCCUUAUAGAAUCAAAAAUAGGUACAAGAAGUAUGGGAAUGAUAAGAAGGAAGUGUGGUUUUGCAAAUAGGAUUGAUGUUAAUGUAGAAGGAUCAAGAGGUGGACUUUCCUUAGGAUGGAGAGACGAAUUAUCUGUAACUUUAAAAAGUUUCUCAAGCUCUCACAUAUAUGUGGAAGUGUCAGAAGAAAGCGAGGAUCUUGUUGGAGGUUUACCGGAUUCAAUGGUUAUCCAGUAGAGCAUUCGAGGAAGGAAUCAUGGAAUAUGCUUAAGAAGUUGAAGGAAAACAAUCAAUUACCAUAGUUAGUAUUGGGUGAUUUCAAUGAAAUUAUGUUUUCUUUUGAAAAAAAAGGAAGAAGGUUAUGAGAAGAAAGACAAAUGUUAACUGUUAGAGAUGUUUUAAAGGAUUGUGAUUUAAACGACUUGGGUUUCUCUGACAAUGGUUUACUUGGGAGAGGGGAAAACUACCGAAAAAUAACAGAAGGGAAAAACUAAAUAGGGAAGUUGCAAAUUCGGCAUGGUGGAAUCAUUUCCUAAACUAUUCAGUACAUCACCUAAAUCAUAGGUUUUCGAAUUAUUACCCAAUUUUAGUGGAUACCAUAGGGAACAUGAAGGGCAAUCUACUCGAAGGGAAUUGUCAUUUCACUUUAAAGCAAAUUGGAUUAUGAAAAAGGAUUUUGAGGAGCAAGAAAAAAAAGGAAUGGGAUUCAAAUAGAAAUGAGCUGCCAGAUAAGGUGAAAGAUCUAGGCUAUAUGUUACAAGAAUAGGCAAAAAAUAAUAAAGAAUUUCAAAGAAAAAUAAAAGAGGAGUUGAAUGAAAGAUUAAAUUAGCUAAAAGAGGAAGAUUCAAGCAAGGAAAGCAUGGUAGAAAUCAUGGAAGUUAAAUUGCCCUUGAAUAUGGAGGCAAAUAAGAAAGAAUUAUUCUGGGCACAAAGAGCCUGAGUGAAUUGGCUUCGGAUGGGUGAUUGUAACACUUUAUUUUUUCACAACUUUGCUUCGUAUCGAAAAAAUAAAAAUUUAGUAAAAGGAUUGAAAGAUGAAAACGAGAGCUGGGUACAAGGAGAAAAAGAGUUGAUGGAAUUAGCAACAAAAUUUUUCAAACAUCUAUUUUCUUCAAAACCGGUGUAGAAUUGUGAACAAUUAAUGGCAGAAAUUCAAUCAUGCAUAAUAGGAAGUCAUAAUGAGGAACUAAUGUUGGAGUUUAAGGGAGAAGAGGUGGUUGAUGCAAUGAAGCCGAUGGCACCAAUUAAGGCCUCGAGCAAGGAUGGGUUUUUGGCAUUAUUCUAUAAUAAAAUUUGGCAUAUCGUAGGGAACAAUGUAACAAAAUUUUGUUUAGAGGUAUUGAAUAAUCCUAAAGAAUUAGAGGAAGUAAACAAAACCAACAUUGUGGUAAUUCUUAAGGUAACUACUCCAAAGAAGAUGGGGCAAUUCAUGCCUAUUAGCUUUAAGCUGUGUAUUGAGGAAACGCAAUGAGCUUUUGUCCCACGGAGGCAAAUAACAAACAACAUUUUGGUGGCAUACGAAAUCCUGUAUUCUUUCAAAAAGAAAAAAAGGGUAUGGAACUGGAUCUUUUGCAUUAAAAUUAGAUGAGUAAAACAUAUGACAGAGUGGAAUGGGGUUUUGUCGAAAGAUGCUGAGUAGUUUAGGUUUCUACAAUGACUGGAUUUCACUUAUCAUGAGAUGUGUUAAAAGUGUUGCAUAUUCGGUAGUAAUUAAUGGAGCACAAGGUGUAGAAUUUAAACCUAUAGGAGGAUUAAGGCAAGGGGAUCCUCUGAGCCCAUAUUUAUUCAUAAUUUAUGCAGAAGGCUUCUCAAAACUGUUGAAUAUUGUAAAAGGAGACAAAAAAAUUUAUAGGGCGAAAGUGGAAAGAUGUGGAUUAUCAAUAACACACCUAUUUUUUGCCAAUGGUAGUAUUCUUUUUUUUUUGGAAAAAUAAAAAAAAAGGGUAGUAUUCUUUUUGGGGAGGCAACAAAUGAAGAAGCUAUAGCGAUAAAAUUUGUGGUGAACGAAUAUGAGAAUAUAUCAGGUCAGUUGAUUAAUUUUAAUAAAUCACUAAUCUAUUUUAGUAGUAACGUGUGCAGCAAUGUAAGGAGUCAGAUAAGCAACGUAUUGGGAGUUAGAAUUUCAAACAAUCCAGAGAAAUAUCUUGGCCUUACAACAAUGGUAGGAAAAUGAAAAAAGAACGCAUUUGUAAACAUGAAAGAAAUUUUUAUCAAAAAGAAUGAAAGAUUGGUGUGUGCGUAAUCUAUCACUAGGAGGAAAAGAGGUAUUUAUUAAAGCUGUUUUACAAGCCAUUCCUAUUUAUGCAAUGUAAUAUUUUAUGUUGCUUGUGUCAUUAUGCCGAGAAUUAAAAAAUUUAAUGUGUAGAUUUUGGUGGCGUAAUUUAAAAUCUAACAAGGGCAUACAUUGGUGUAGUUGGAAUAAUAUGUGUAUCAUAAAAACAUAAGGGGGGAUUGGGUUUAAGGAGUUAUCAAAAUUUAAUGACAAGAGCGAUGAAAGCAAAAUAUUAUUCUCGGGGAGAUUUCAUGAGCGCAAGUUUAGGAUCUUACCCUUCGUUUACCUAGCGUAGCAUUUGGGGUGCUCGUAGGUUAUUGGAAAGUGUCAUAGGGUGGAGAAAUGAGAUUGGAGAAUUGGAGAACAUAUGGAACAAUGCGUGGUUGCCAAGUUCUGGUGAUGCAAGAGUAAUGAUUCAGAACAUAGAUAUUAGAUUUUCAAAAGUAGCAGACUUAAUAGAUAAGGGAAAGGUUACUUGGAAAAUUGAGAUCAUUCAAGGGCUAUUUAGCGAGGAGAAAAUGGGGAGGAAUUUAUCUAUCCCGCUGGUAGGCAGUAUGUAGUAUGCAAACAAAUGAGAUAAUAUGAAGGGGCGAUAAUUCUGGAGUCUAUAAAAAAAAGCGGUUACAAAUUACUCAUUACAGAAAGCUAGGAUUUGCUAGGAGACCAAAAUGCAUUACAAACUGAAAGAUGCAAUCUGCCUCAAAGUCCGUAGCAAAAUUAGGAUAAACCUAUGGAAAAUCUCAUACAACUAUAUGCCUACUCUAGGUAAUCUAAAACUUCACUGGUUAAGGAAAGAUGCAAUCUGCCCAGUCUGCAAGGAAGAAGAGGAGACAGUAGCCUAUUUGUUUAGAGAAUGCAUUUUCACAAAAAAAAAAGGGUACUAUAGGAGAUAGAGCUGACACCCUUGAGCACAAACAUUAGUCAAAAUUGGAGACAAUGGUUAGAAUCAAAACUAGUAAAUAAUAGUAUGCAGUAUGGAAUAAAUCUGCCCAUGACAUUUUGGGCUAUAUGGUACGACAGGAACAAACUUUAUCAUGAGGGAGUAAGGGAAAGGGUGCAAGAUGUAGCGAGAUUUGUAACACCCCUAACCCUUCUUCGUUGUCAGAUUAGGGUUACAAAGCAUUACCAUACAAAACAUAAUGUUUAACUUCAAAACAAAAAUAAUUAUGCAAUGUAAUUUCAACAGUUAUUAGCUCAAUAUAACCAUAGUAAAAAGACAUUAUCAGGCUUUAAACCGAGCCUUCGGAGCAAUAAAAACAACUUGGAAACAAUUAGGGAUCAAUUUAAGACAAAACAAAAAAAAAUUCGAAAACAUGAAAAAUUUUAGAAACAGGGGUCACAUGGCCUGUGUGGACAUUUAAAGUAUGGACACACGGCCGUGUUCCAGCCUGUGCAUCAGCUUGUGUGGGUAUUCAAAAUAGGGCCACAUUGCUGUGUCGCAGGUCAUGUACCAAAUCAUGUAUGCAUUCGAUGUUGUGUCACACGGUUGUGUCUCAAUCCGUGUGAAACCUAUACCUAAAAUAAUAAUGACACAUAAUUAUUUACAUCCUUUUUUCCACAUAAUUAUAGCUUGUUUGAUAGCAAAAAAAAACAUUUUAGUAUAUAUUAAUGUUGUCAUACUUAAAGUAGCAAUUUUUGUUUUCUAGUAGUUUUUAUUAUAUUUUAUAUAUCAAAAUAAGGUUACAUGGUCUUUUAGGUCAAGUCGGGAGCUAAAGAUACUUAUUUAAGCCAAAACUGAUGCCUGUAUCACGACACUAAGAUACUGAUGUCUCAACGUCGAAGACAGAAACUAAAAACAAAUUUUAGAGCGAAACUACCCUCGAUGUUGCGACAUAGCCCUCCUAUGUCGCGACAUAACCCUUGCGCAGCCAAAAAUUCCUGCAUGCUUUAACUACAUUUUGGAGGGAAAUUAGGUGUAUUUAUCCCAAUUGAACUUUAAGGACUUCAAGGAUAAUUUAGGCACUUUAAUAUUUCGAGUUUAGCCUAUAUAAAAGCUAUUGUAAUUAAUUUAAAUAUACAAUUUUAGGGUUUUAAUUAUGAGGCUUUACUUUCAUUCUUAGUUUUUACCUAUGUUAUUUUAUGUUCUUGUAACCGGAAGAUCCUAUUUCGAAGUGAGACUUCUAUAAGGGGAGAUUGUUCUAAAACCAAACUUUCAUCAAUAAAUCCAUAAGCAUCUCUUUUCCUUAUUCUCUUCUUUCUAUUUCUUUCUUUAACAUUUUUAGAUGAAUUUUUGUGUAAAUAUUAGAAUCAAUUUGUGCUUUCUACAUAUUUUGCAUGUUGUAAUUGCUUGAACUUAAUUAAUUGCUUGAAUGAUAGAGUGUAACACCCUUAAUCUGUCUCCGUCGUCGAAUUAGGGUUACAAAAUGUUACUGUACAAAAUAGAACGUUUAAAUUCAAAAUAGAAUAACAAUUCAACUUACGAAUUGUUUUCUAAUUACUCUAUUUAAUCAUGGCAGUAAUACACAUUUGGGCCUUAAACCGAGUAUUUGGGCCCUAAAAAUAAGUUGGAAGUAAUUGGGGGAUCAAUUUGAACAAGUCACAAAAUUUUAAGAAGAACAUGAAAAUUUGAGAAAUAAGGGUCACAUGGCCAUGUGACAUAGCUUAGACCGUGUGGACAUUCGAAGUGCGAUCACACUGUCGUGUCCCAGCCCGUGUGUUCACGUGUGUGUACAUUGAAAAUAGGGUCACACAGCCAUGUCGCAGGCCGUGUGCUAGACCGUGUAACUUACUGAAUUGGUACACAUAGUCGUGUCUUAGACUAGGGGUGUUCAGUCGGUGAACCGAUCCAAAAUAAUAUUAACCAAACUAACCGGCCUUUCAAAAUUUUUAACCGUUAACCGAACCAAAUUUUUUUCAAUUAAUUCGGUCAGUUAACUGAAUUAACCGAAUUAUAUAUAUUUUUAUUUUUGGUUAAAAAUUAACAGAAUUAACUGAAUUAACCGAAUUACCCAAAUUGAAUCACUACAUAAUUAAAAACAUUACAUAAGUCUUUGAAUUUUAUUUUUAUUUAUUAAAUUAUUUUCUUAGACUUAUAAACUUUAGUUUUAGUUUUGGUUUUCGAAUUUUAUUUUUAUUUAUUAAAUUAUUUGUAAUUUUUAUGAUUGGGUUGGGUUGGAUACUUGGGUUGGGAUUGGGUUUAGGAGAAUAGUGGGCCUAUUUAUAUAUUAUAAUUUUAUUUAUUAAUUUUUUCAGUUAAACCAAAAAAAUUUGGUUAACCGACCGGUUUCGAACCGAAUUAACCGUUAACUGAAAAAUUAAAAAAUAAUUAACCGAACCCCGACUGAAAAAAUUCGAUUAACCGACUGAUUAACCGAAUUCGAUCAGUUAACCGAAUUUUUUUGGUUUUACCCGAAUUUUGCACACCCCUAUCUUAGACCAUGUCUAACUUGCACCUAAAAUAAAAAGUAACACACAAACAUGUAGCCAAGUCGUGUGUCUCACACGACCGUAUGAAAGCUCGUGUCUCAGGUCGUGUGCUCCAUAAUUAUCCCAUAAAACAAGCCAUUUUAAGAUCAAACCUUGCCCAACAAGCUACUCCAUUUGCACACAGACUCAAAGGCCAUAAACACACUUCAAACAUUCAUAAUAUACCAAUUCAAUGAACUUAGACCUUCUAACCAAUAUGCCAUUCAAAGGCACCUCAUUUCAUACCAAAACAAAAUCCAUUAAGAACAAAGCUAUAAUGCCACUUCUCAAUCACCAAACUUAGGUAAAAUAGAUACCUAAAGUCAUCUAUUACCAAUCGAUUUUACCAUUCAAGAUAAGGAUACCAAAAUGACCAUUUAUGUAACACCCCAAACCCGGUGGUCAAAUCUAGAGUUGUUACGUAAAAUGAUUAAAACUUUGAUUUCCAUGUAUCUUGAAACUCGUCGCAAACUCUUAAAUUUCGAAUUAUUAAAAAAAACAUAUAUUAUCUAACUAUUUAUUUGAAAGCGAUGUGUGAAUAUAUUUUUCUAAAACUUAUGAUUUUGCAGCUGAAACCCUUAGAAAAAUGUAUUUUUGAAAACACAACUUGUUAAUUGAAACCCAUUGAUUUUGUAGAAAAUUAUCGUUGUCGAUAAAACGUUUAAACAUUAUUAUGUGAAAACAGAAAGUAAAAUUCCAAAACCAAAAAUAGUCCCAAAUGUCCCGAGAGUCUAAAAUUUAGAUAACUCUCAAACCAAAAUUUUGAUUAAGUCAAAUUUAAGAAAAAUACGGUAUUAACUGAGCUCCUAAUUGCACCAAUCCUACUAAGUCUGUGGAUUACCUGAAAAUAACAGUCAAAAGAAAUAUGAGUUUUCGAAACUUAGUGUGUAACAAACAACUCAAACAGUUAGUUAUUAACAAACAAUUUAUUAAUACAGAAUCUUAAUAGAGCAGUUCAAAUGCAGAUAUACAAAUAUAAUUCCUACCCCCAACCACUACACACCAUCUCCGACUAUCCCAACACACCAUAUGGGGUUUGAAAUACCCAUCCAACCUUACACACCACUUAGUGUCGUUAAGACAUUUACCAGAUAUUUGCAGCUGAGUUGCUGGUAUAAUAGAUGAGGUAUCACCACUAACAAAAACACUUCCUCCAGAGAAUACAACUCAUCCAAAUGCAGUCAUAAAUCAAAACAUAAAUCAUACAUGUUACAGUUAUACAUGCAUGACAUAUCAAAUAGCAAACAUAUACAAUGAAUUUUCUGAAUUACUUAUAGCCUAUCACAGAAUCGGAUAAAAUAAAAUAAAAUAAAAUCCCUUAACAAAUACUAUCCCACAACCUGAUAAUUACCCAGUAUUUUAUUUUCAAUCCAACUCCACCCUAUACGCUCCUGAUAGAAAAUUGCAAAAAAAACAAAACCCUUUUUUUUUCACACCAAGAUUUGAACCUAAAACCCUUAACACAUAAACAAUGCGCCCAACCACUAAAACAAAUACUAAUUAAUGACAAAAUUUAACAAUUCAUGUAUACCAAAUUUUAGGGCAUUACAAUUUACAUAUAGCUUUUAACAUAUAAACAAACCAACCACACCAUAUAUUCAUACAACUAUUUACAAAAGAAACCAAAACACACAAAAGCAUAAAUGACAUUACACCCUAUACAUGCCAUUUAUAACCAUAGUUCAAAAUAACCAAAAACUACCAAAAUGAUUGUGGGUUAGUGUGAUAGGUCUUUGGCAAAGUUCCAAGUGAUCGAACUUUCGAUGAUCUACAAAAUAAAGAAAACAACUACGUAAGCAACAAAUACUUAGUAAGUUCGUAAAAGGUAAACUUUAACUUACCAAACAUCAUUUAACAAUCCAUUCAACUAAUCUCAUUGCAUCAUUUUACAUUAUAAUUUCAUAUGCACCAUAAAUCACAUGGUUGGUAAAUAUCAUGAAAACAUAACAUAUAUGCAUCAUCUCACAUACUAGUACGUGAAUUCCAUACCUUACUUUUUCAUCACAUAAUAAUUUUCCAUUUCCUAAAUUCAUAUAUAUCACACCUUUUCAAUUAAACAUUAACAAUAAUAGGUGUGUAUGCAUGCUUUUCCUUCGUCCUUUACUUACCCGUUGAACCAUCUAGAAUUUAAUUGGAUACUCGAAAAUGCUCACACAUAGUGUGUCUUUUCAUGUAAUCAUAACAUUUCCUUUUCAAUAAUGCUCACACGAGUUGUGGAGAAUCCGCAACAAAUGUAGGACCUCAGCCAUUGGUAGGAUAUUCAAGACCAGCAGCCAAAACCAUAUAACCCUAAUGACAUGUCAUUUGUAUUCUAAGAAUUCUUAAGGUUCAAACGUGAUUAAUUAACCGUCAACAUUCCGAAGUAUUAUCAUAUCAUCGAGUAAAAUUAAACCUAAUAUAUUAAAAUGAAUAAAAUCAAUUCAAUUAAUCAUUAAUAUAAUUAUAACUCAUACGAACUUACCUAGACCACCACAGUUGUUUAAGCUAGAUUGAAACUAACUCAAGAUUUUUGCUUUUCCUUGAGUCAAGUCCGAUUAAUUCUUUUCUUGAUCUAAAUAAUAAUUUAAUUCAAUUAAGUACUUCAAAUAAUCUCAGUUAUUCAAUUCAAGUCUAUAAUCCAUAUUAAUAAGAAAUUUUGAAUUUACCCCUACACUUUUAACCUGUUCAGAUUUUAACCCUUAAGCCCAUAACAUGAAAAUUCGCCAUUUUUUUUCUACUCACAACAUGUUAGCCAAUUCUCCCUUAUACUCAUAUCAACCCACAUUUUCCAUAUUUCACAAAACAUACAUGGAAUUUACCAUUCUAACAAAUAAAUCCCAAAACCUUAAAUUCACUAAAAAUCUUAUAACCAAACAUGCUCAUUUAACUAUCUACUAAUUAACUUGACAAACACAUCAAAUGCAUCCAUGGCAAGUCUCUCAACCAUUAAAAACUUAACAAAAUAACCCCCGGGCUAACUAAAUUAAGCUAAAACGAGCUUGAAAAUAUAAAUAUAACUAAAACAUAGCUUGAAUACAUAUCAUGCAAAUUGAUUUAAGCUUGCCAAAACCUAAAGCUAAACAACCGUGUUUUUUGGUUGUUAAAUUUGGUGGAGAAGAAAACAAUUAUAAAUAUGACAUUGGUUUGUUUUAUUUAGAUUAAAAUUUAUUUAUUUAUUUACUAUUUUACCCUUAGUUUAAUAACUUACAAAAUGACAAAAAUUAAACUCAUAAUGCUCUAUUAACUUUUCAUAUGGUAUAAAUAUCAUCUAAGUCCAUUAACUUUCCUUUCCAUAGCCAUAUAACUUAUUUAACUAAUAAAAUCUCACUUUCACAGCAUUUACAAUUUAGUCCUUUUGAAUUAAUUAACCAUUUAAACUUCAAAAUUUCUUAAAAAAAAUUUAAUACAACAUUAAAAUAACCCCAUAAAAAUUAAAUAAACAUUAAAAUAUUACUCACUCGUCAGAGUCGUGGUCUGAAAACCACUUUUCUUGACUCUACUGAAAUCGGGUUGUUACAUAGAGUUUCUUAGCGGAUUAGCUAUUUGGAAAUGGAAGAACGUGAAAUAAACCCUAGGCAUGACAACCCUAGGAAGUCAUUUAGGUAGGAAUUAACCAAAAAUUGGUUUGGCCUAUCCGUGAACACCUUAACCUCGAAUCGAUUUGGACUGUAAGGUCAAAAGAUAAGUAGUUAUUUCUGACUCAUUGUUCUAGUGGAAGAUCAAUAUAACCUACUAGGGUAUCAACUAGUUGAUUGAUUAGAAUUCUACCUCAAUAAUUAAUUAGGUAAAAACAAUUGGAUCUAGGCUAAAAGGAACUCGCGUAGUCAAAACAAGGAAUAGGAAAAGUCGAUACAAGAACCUAGGAGCAGAUUUAGGUUUAGUUAAAUUUAUUUAGUUUCUUAUUAUUAUUAUCAUCUUUCUUAUUGAUUAACACUAAUAAUUCGUGACUCGAGUAGAUUAGUAAUUAUUUCCUAUAAUUGGCUUAAAAAUAGUUUUCCCCAUACUACAAUCCCUUGGGUACGAUCCUCGGAAUACUUACCAAGUGUUUCAUUGUAAACAAACUAUAUUAAAACAUGAGUCGUAUACUUGUGGACAUUACCUCGAAUCUAUAUCUUUAGUUCAAGUAUUUACACCCUGGAUGUUGGUACGUCUGGAAGCGGUCAGUGUCGCAGGCUGUGUGCUUCAUAAAUUGCCCCCAAAACAAGACAUUUCAAACUCAUUUCUUGCUCACAAAGACACACCAUUUCCACAAACAUUCAUAGAACCAAAACACAUUUUAAACAUGCUUAAAACAUAUCAAUUCCAUCAACCUAUAAGACACUACACCAGAAUAGGCUUUUAGCGGCACUUUUUGAGGCGUUUGGAACAAAAGCGACACAAAAAAUAGAGCAUUAGCGGCGAUUUAGCCAAAGCGCCGCUAAAGGUAGAGCAUCAGCGGCGUUUAUACAGAAGCGCCGCUAAAAAUAGGAAUUAACGGCGUUUUAUAUAAAGCGCCACAAAAAACCUAAGACGAACGGCGUCGUUUUUUGCGAUUUUUUAAACAUUUAGCGGCGUUUUUGUCUAAGCGCCGCUAAUGCUCGGGUCUAUAGCGGCGUUUUUGUCUAAGCGCCGCUAAUGCUCGGGUCUAUAGCGGCGUUUUUGUCUAAGCGCCGCUAAUGCUCGGGUCUAUAGCGGCGUUUUCGUGUAAGCGCCGGCUAANNNNNNNNNNNNNNNNNNNNNNNNNNNNNNNNNNNNNNNNNNNNNNNNNNNNNNNNNNNNNNNNNNNNNNNNNNNNNNNNNNNNNNNNNNNNNNNNNNNNCGAGUCUUUAGCGGCGUUUUCGUUUAAGCGCCGAUAAUGCUCCGAGUCUUUAGUGGCGUUUUCGUCUAAGCGCCGCUAAUGCUCUGGGUCUAUAGCGGCGUUUUUGCCUAUGCGCCGCUAAUGCUCGGGUCUUUAGCGGCGUUUUUAUAUAUGCGCCGCUAAUUCUCCUGUAUUCAGCGGCGUUUGUAUCUAAGCGCCGCGAAUGUAUUAACCUUUAGCAGCGUUUUUGCCGAAGCGCCGCUAAUAGUAACAAAAAUCUUAUAAGUUGAAAUAAUUAAUAUUUUGUUCUAUUUAUUAUAUAUAUAUAUAUAGUGGGACAAUUUACAUUUAAAUUAUAAUUAACAAAUAAUAUUGAUUAAUAAAAAAAGUUUUUAUUAAAGAGAAGUCGUAUAUAUGUAACAGCUAACUAUUUAUAACAGUUGAUUUAAAAUACUUUACAAGAGAAAAUAUAUUAAAUUAUGAAUAAAAUAAAAUAUAGUAAAACUUAAAUUGUUGUAUUAAUGUAAAGAGUAAAUUAAAAAUAGAAUUAACUUUUUAUAAGAGUAAUAAAUUAAUUUUGGUAGUACGUAUAUAUUGUUCGACUAAUUUAUAUAUAUUUUAACAAUAAUUAUUGACUAUAUUUAAUUUAAUUAUGAUUAUAUAUAUAUAUAUAUUAAAGAUUUAGGGAUUUUUUUUAUGGACGGUAUUUUAAUGAGUACGGGGUAUAGAUUUAAGGUAAUUGGGGAUUUAAGGUUAAUUAAGGGGUUAGAGGUUUUAGGGUUUGAGAUUUAGGGUUAAUUUCAACGGUCAUGUGUUAGGGUUUANNNNNNNNNNNNNNNNNNNNNNNNNNNNNNNNNNNNNNNNNNNNNNNNNNNNNNNNNNNNNNNNNNNNNNNNNNNNNNNNNNNNNNNNNNNNNNNNNNNNNNNNNNNNNNNNNNNNNNNNNNNNNNNNNNNNNNNNNNNNNNNNNNNNNNNNNNNNNNNNNNNNNNNNNNNNNNNNNNNNNNNNNNNNNNNNNNNNNNNNNNNNNNNNNNNNNNNNNNNNNNNNNUAGGGGGAUUUAGGGGUUAAGGGUUAUGCUUUAGGGGUUAGGGGAUUUAGGGGUAAGGGGCUAGGGGGUUAUAGAUUUGGGUCGGGUUUAGGGUUUCAACGGUUAUGUUAGAGUUUAAGUUAUUAGAUUAAUUUAGUUUUAUCAAAUAUGUUCUUAUAUAUAUUUCUAAAAUAUAUAAUAUAUAAUAAAUUUAAUAUAUUGAAAUUAUGAGUAUAUAGUUUAAAUUUAUUUAUUUAUCAAUAAAAUUAAAUAUUAUAAAUUUCAAACUUUAUACAAAAAAUAAAUAUUAUAAAUGUAAUAUUACAAAUUAUUAAAAGUUUUUAUUACUAUUAAUUAUUGUUUAAUCAAUUAUAACUAUUUUAUAUAUGAUUAUUAAAGAUUUAGGGAUUAUUUCUGAUGGCCGUGCUAUUUUAAAGAUUAGGGGGUAUAUAUGGAUUUAAGGUUUGGGAUAUAGGGUUAGGGGUUUAAGUUUUACGAGUUACGGGCUAAGGGUUAGUGGUUUAGAAUUUAUGGUUUAGGGUUUCAGGGGUCGGAUAAGGAUUUUAAUUAGGUUAGUUUAGAUUAAUUUCUUUAAAUAAUGUUUUAAAAAAUCAAAUUAAAGUACCAAUUGAUAUCAAUUAUAUUAAUGUUUUUGUCAUUUAAAUAUUAUUUUAAAUAGAAUUAAGUUUAAUAAGUUAAAAAAUAGUUUGAAAUAUGCAUUAAAGCUUUAUUAAACGGCGCCGUUUCAGAUUAUAACUUCAAUUUGUAGUGGCGUUUUUUGGAAACGCCGGAAAUAUACAAGAAAUAGUGGCGUUUUCCUAACAAACGCCGGAAUGGUGUCUUAAAAUUUUGGCAAAACGACGCCAUUUCUGUUCCGCGUGUUUUUACUUAUCAUUUUCUGUAAGGCAGAACACAAACACAAACAGAAUCAGAGAGGAGAAAACGAAAGCUAUAAUAUCGAAAGAGAAAAUACAAAGGAAAAAAGGGAGAGGAGAUGUCAUCUAUCGGGUGAAACGAAGCAACAGUUGAGCAAUCUUGACAGGAUACCAUCAAAGUUGCGGAAUUUGUGGUGAAAAAGGUAAGCUUUUUGUCUUUUAAAUCGCUGUAUCUUGAUUUAGGGUUUGGGUUAAGUGUAAUUUGGGAAACUGGGGUUUAAAUAAUAAAUUCAAUCACCAACCUUUGGCCUGUUUGUUUGGGAAUUCGGGGAAUUUCGGCGUUUUUGCGUGUCAAGGGUUUGGGAAUUUGGGAAUUUCCUUUAGUGUUCCCCCAAGUCAAAUUUCCACGAUUUCAUUUCCCCAAUUUCCCAACUUCUUUUCCCCCAAUUUCCCCCAAGUUAUUCUUCCCCAAAGUAUUUUCCCCAAUUUCCCAAUUGCUCAAUCCCUUUCUGAUAGCCGAACAACAUUAUUUUCUGGUAUCGAUGGACUUCCCCUUUCCCGUAUUUUUUUGUGCAUUUUGGGUUUGGAUCAACUUCUUUUCCCCCAAUUUCCCCCAAGUUAUUCUUCCCCAAAGUAUUUUCCCCAAUUUCCCAAUUGCUCAAUCCCUUUCUGAUAGCCGAACAACAUUAUUUUCUGGUAUCGAUGGACUUCCCCUUUCCCGUAUUUUUUUGUACAUUUUGGGUUUGGAUCAAUGGCAAUUCAUUUUUGUAACAUUGGCUUAGGGGAGAGCUUGAAAUUUNNNNNNNNNNNNNNNNNNNNNNNNNNNNNNNNNNNNNNNNNNNNNNNNNNNNNNNNNNNNNNNNNNNNNNNNNNNNNNNNNNNNNNNNNNNNNNNNNNNNNNNNNNNNNNNNNNNNNNNNNNNNNNNNNNNNNNNNNNNNNNNNNNNNNNNNNNNNNNNNNNNNNNNNNNNNNNNNNNNNNNNNNNNNNNNNNNNNNNNNNNNNNNNNNNNNNNNNNNNNNNNNNNNNNNNNNNNNNNNNNNNACCUUUACUUCCUUGUGAACUUUAAGAGGUAUGUAUAUUUAAUUUGCUAAAUUUAUUAGUUAAAGCAAAUGUUCAUCACUUUCUUACUUUAAUUAUUAUGAUUAUUAUUAACUUAAUGAGUCCAUGAAUGAAAUCCAAAACUGAUGUUAACCAAAUUUACUGUAGUUGAAUUCAUCACUUUGUUAGCUAGUAUUAUGAGUAGUGUAGCCACCGAAUUUUAUUAAGUCUACCAAUUAUUGAGUUUAAUUUUUCAAAUGAAAAGAAAAUUCUAAAUUCUGAAUCAAUGUUGAUUUGGACAAAUUAAUUAGAGGACUUUGAUUGAAUUUGGAUCCAUUUUCACUAUUUGGGUAAUGUAUGAUCCUUUUAUUUUUUAUGCUAAAUACAUAUAUAUUUUUUUGGCUUUGACCAUUAAUGUUAGAUUUAUAUAAUUCUGAAAAUAUAUUUUACAAUAUUUGGUCCAUAUGACCUUGAGCCUGUUGAUGGAGUCAAAGUCGCCAACCACCAUUGCCAAGGACAACUCCCUCUCCCAUCUUCACCAACGCCAACUGCUCCAACCUCUACUCCAGCCCUACCAUCACACUAUUCACUAAAUCAGAGUCCAGAUCACUACUUCAGCUUGCACCUACCGUCAACCUCACACCCAAAACCCCAGUCAACCCGAACAUCAUCAUAACCAAAUCCACUACCAGCAACCUCAGUAAAAAAAACACACCAGAUCGCAAGUAAAAAGGAGGAGGGAGAGCAAAUACAACCCUUAAUCGAAACUACCAAAGCCAGUAUAAAAAAUUGAUAAGGAUACAGCUCAACAAUUUUCAACCAAUUCUCUUAUUGAUGGCUUCGGUUUAAUAAAAAAUUGAAGAGUAUAACUCAAUUAGGAUGAUCAAUUUUAAGAAAUAAUGUUAUAUCUUAAAUUAUCUUGAGUUAUUUUUCUUUGUAAGUAGACUAUAUUGACAUUUAAUAAUUAUGAAGUUAUUUUUUACUGUUGGAUAUUUACAUUUCGUCUUCUUUGAAAUCAAUUUAUGCUUUUAUGUCUAUUUGAUUAUCCAUGAAAAUUAAUUAUUUUAAGGUUUGUUACUGUUCCUCCCAAUAAUGUUUAAUUUUUAAUUUUACGUUUGGAUUAAACUAUAUUCUUUUAUUAGAUUAUCUAAAAUGAGGAAAGAUAAGGAAAAGAAGAGAUUAACCAUAACUUUCAUUUGAUUAAAUGGUAGAAAGAACAGGAGGUAAUAUAUUGUAUUCUAUUUUGUAUAUAAAGUUCAAUUCAAAAUUUCUCUUUAAUUUUUUAUUUUGAUGGGUUGAGAAUUUAAAACACACAUUCAAUUCGGUAAGAAUGUGAGAUGGUUGGAGUUAAAAUGCCAUUGACAGCUACCUAAUAGAGAGACGGUCCACGUUUUUAAUACAAACUCAAUUCCCUAUUUGCUACUAAUUUCUUAGUCAAGUUGCAUGCAAAAUGCUUAUUUACCUUAUAAAAUACUAAUUGUAUAAUAUUUGUAACUAAAAUUAAUAUUAUAUUUGUAUCUAAAAUUAAUAUUAUAUUAUAAAAUACUGUUUAUCCAAUCUUUUUUUAAACAAAAUUGUUUAUCCAAUGUUUAUAUUAUAAAAUCAAUAUUUGUCUCUUAUUGUAAGGGACAUAACUUAAUUAAUUAAUAUUAUACAUAACUUACAUUAAUAUUAUACAUAGAUGACAUAACUUAAUUAAUUAAUAUUAUACAUAACUUACAUAAAUUAAUUACUUAAUAUACAUAAAUUACAUAACUUACAUUAAUAUGAUACAUAAAUGACAUAACUUAAUUAAUUAAUAUUAUACAUAACUUACAUAAAUUAAUUAGUUAAUAUACAUAAAUUACAUAACUUACAUUAAUAUGAUACAUAAAUGACAUAACUUAGUUAAUUAAUAUUAUACAUAACUUACAACUUACAUAACUUACAUAUUUUUAAUUAUUCGUAAAUUACAUAACUUACUUAAUUUUCAUAAUAAAUAACUUACAUAAAUAACUUCUUACAUAACUUAUGUGACUUACAUAACUUACAUAGCAUAAUUUUCAUAAUACACAACUUACAUAAUUUGGGUAAUAAAUAACUUACAUAGCUUAACUAUACUUAUUCCUAAAUCCUAAACCCGUGCAAUUUAUUGUCAAGAUUAGGCUUCAAGAAAUAAGAAAUGGACCGGUCUUGGAUGAAUUUGUCAAGGGUAAGCGACGGUUACCGAAAUGGAGUACAAACUUUUCUAAAUUUUGCAUUUCAAUAUGCAAGCCAAGAGAACAUGAUUCUUUGCCCAUGUAAGAAGUGUGUCAACAUAAACUGGCAUUAUCGUGAAGUUGUAUACGAGCAUAUAAUUGUUGAUGGGUUUGUUCGUGGUUAUAAACAAUGGUUUUUUCAUGGAGAAUGCCCGCCUAGUACUUCCUCUUCAAGGAUGGAUGUAUCUUAUGAUAGUACUGCCUACCAUCAGUCUGUUAGAGGGGAUGACAUGGAAGGGAUGUUGCGGGAAGCAUUUAAUAUUCACAGUCAUGGUUUACAGUCGUUCCCACCCGACUUUGUGCCAUCUGAUGAUUGUAAUCUCGGUGGAAAUGCUUUUACCAAACCCGGAAGAAACCAACAUCAUGAAGAGCAGAAUAGAGAAGCGGCAAAGUUCUACGCGCUACUUAAUGAGAUGAACGAAGAACUAUAUGAGGGAUCGAAAUUUUCAAAAAUGUCGUUUUGCAUUCGUCUUUUCCAGUUAAAAUGUUUCGGAGGGUGGACCGGGAACUCAUUGACAAUGCUGUUAGAGUUUUUGAGAGAAAUGUUUCCGUUUGCAAAAAUCCCCCAGUCAUGCAAAGAUAUGAAGAAAAUGAUAAAAGACUUAGGUCUUGGGUACAACAAAAUCCAUAGUUGCCCGAAUGAUUGCAUGUUGUACUAGGGCGAUCGGAGAAACCAACAGUGCUGUCAUGUAUGCGGCGAGUCCCGUUGGAUGAAUAGAAACACAGAAGAUGGGAACGACGAUGAAAAUGAUGCACAGCCAAGAAAGAAGCCGGUCAAGAUUUUGCGGUAUUUUCCGCUGAUACCAAGGCUUCAAAGGCUUUUCAUGUCGUCGAAGACAGCGGAGUCAAUGACAUGGCACCAUGAAGGACGAACCGAUGAUGGACUAUUAAGGCAUCCGGCAGAUUCUUUAGCUUGGAAAUCAUUUGACAAUAAAUUUCCAAGCUUUGCAAGCGAUCCGAGGAGUGUCAGGCUUGGUCUAGCAUCUGAUGGAUUUAAUCCUUACAAGAUCAUGAGUACUGCAUACAGUACAUGGCCAGUGGUGCUUGUUCCUUACAAUCUGCCUCCGUGGAUUUGCAUGAAGCAAUCUUCCCUUAUCUUAUCUAUGAUUAUCCCUGGAGAGAAAGGGCCCGGGAAUGAUAUCGACAUUUAUUUACAGCCACUUAUUGAAGAGUUAAAACAAUUAUGGGCUGGUGUCGAGACAUACGAUGUGCUGAGAAAGGAGAACUUUAAUUUACGUGCAGCUUUGAUGUGGACCAUUAAUGACUUCCCCGCUUACGCCAAUUUAUCCGGUUGAAGUACCAAGGGUCGUUAUGCGUGCCCCUGUUGUGCUGCACAGACAUGUUCGCAAUGGUUAUACAAUGGGAAGAAGUUCUCUUACAUGGGGCAUCGUCGGUGGUUACCGGGAAAUCAUAGAUUUAGAUUUCAGAGUUCGGCAUUUGACGGUACUGAAGAGUUCAGAGAAGCUCCUUCGCAGACAAGUGGAUCUGAAAUCUUGUUAAUGUUGGAAGAUAUGAAUUUUAAUUAUGGGAAGAUGAAUCAACCGGCAAACACGCAAAGAAAUAGAAGAUCAAAUGAUGAAGCUGACGAUAACUCCGAUGAAGAGGACGAUCCUAAUGAGGCGGACUUGUGGAAAAAAAGAAGUAUUUUUUUUGAGUUACCUUAUUGGGAGCACCACCUUUUACGACACAAUCUUGAUGUUAUGCAUAUUGAGAAAAAUGUCUGCGAGAACAUUGUCUGUACAAUUUUGAAUGUAGACGGAAAAUCAAAAGACAAUCUUCAGAGUCGACAUGAUUUAGUUCAGAUGGGAAUUCGACCUGAUCUUCAUCCGAAUCCACUUCCGAAUGGUAAAUAUCGGUUGCCGCCUUCAAUUUUCUCAAUGUCGAAGACAGAGAAAGAAGUGUUCUGCAUGGUGUUGAAGGAUAUAAAGGUUCCAGAUGCGUAUGCAUCAAAUAUAUCUCGAUGUGUUAGUGUUAAAGAUCGAAGACUAUAUUCGCUAAAGUCACAUGACUAUCACAUCUUGAUGCAAGAUUUACUGCCAGUUGCUCUACGAUGUUGUAUUUCGAAGAAGGUGACGUCUUGUAUAAUUGAACUAUCCAAUAUAAUGAAAGCCAUUUGUGGCAAAGUUUUGGAUGUUCAAGAACUUCAGAAGGUACAGGGUCGAGCCGCUUUAACUCUAUGCAACAUGGAGAAAAUCUUCCCACCUUCCUUCUUCACUAUUAUGGUUCACUUGAUAAUCCAUCUCCCGCAUGAAGCAAUUCGGCGGACCCGUUUUCUAUCGAUGGAUGUAUCCCAUAGAAAGGUGUUAAUUACAAUUUUGUAAAUUUUCCUUCAUUCACCCAUGUGCCUUUAGUUACAACUUUUGACAAUGUUGUAUAUUGUGUUUAGGUUCCUAUCAAAAUUAAAGUCUUAUUGCCGCAACAAGCGGUAUCCAGAAGGAUCGAUUGCUGAAGGCUACUUGGCAGAGGAAUGUAUGACCUUCUGUUCAAGAUAUUUGGAAGAUGUUGAAACAAGGUUGAACAGACCAAAUAGAAAUACUGGACUCACGGAUCGUAACUUUGCCGACAGUUAUUUGUUCCAAAGUUUUGGAGAACCAAUCGGUAAAGUUGAAAUUGCAGAAUUAGAUGAUUAUCGUGGGUACAAGCACAUCGAUAUGUCUGUUUCACACGAAUCAAUCGAACCUUUACGCAAGUAAGUUCUAGAAAUUUGAUAAAUAUUUAUCAUUUCAAAAAUUGNNNNNNNNNNNNNNNNNNNNNNNNNNNNNNNNNNNNNNNNNNNNNNNNNNNNNNNNNNNNNNNNNNNNNNNNNNNNNNNNNNNNNNNNNNNNNNNNNNNNNNNNNNNNNNNNNNNNNNNNNNNNNNNNNNNNNNNNNNNNNNNNNNNNNNNNNNNNNNNNNNNNNNNNNNNNNNNNNNNNNNNNNNNNNNNNNNNNNNNNNNNNNNNNNNNNNNNNNNNNNNNNNNNNNNNNNNNNNNNNNNNNNNNNNNNNNNNNNNNNNNNNNNNNNNNNNNNNNNNNNNNNNNNNNNNNNNNNNNNNNNNNNNNNNNNNNNNNNNNNNNNNNNNNNNNNNNNNNNNNNNNNNNNNNNNNNNNNNNNNNNNNNNNNNNNNNNNNNNNNNNNNNNNNNNNNNNNNNNNNNNNNNNNNNNNNNNNNNNNNNNNNNNNNNNNNNNNNNNNNNNNNNNNNNNNNNNNNNNNNNNNNNNNNNNNNNNNNNNNNNNNNNNNNNNNNNNNNNNNNNNNNNNNNNNNNNNNNNNNNNNNNNNNNNNNNNNNNNNNNNNNNNNNNNNNNNNNNNNNNNNNNNNNNNNNNNNNNNNNNNNNNNNNNNNNNNNNNNNNNNNNNNNNNNNNNNNNNNNNUUGAUGAGCCGUAUGUAUUCUCAUCUCAAGUCAAACAAGUUUUUUACUCAAAAGAUCCAACUGAUGAGGGUUGGUACGUUGUACUCCGUAACAUCCCUAGAGACUUGUUUGACAUGGGCAGUGGAAGUAGAGAUGACAUUGAUGACAGAACACAAACUUUACCAUUUCCAGAACAGAACUUAAACGAAAACAUCCCUAGUACUAGUACACAAUUUCAAUUGGUCCGCCAGGAUACGGAUGAAGAUAUUUACGAAUUAUAAUGUAGUCAGCUUUUACGAUUGUCUAAUUAUAUUUACGAAUGAUGUUAUUGUUGUAAUUGUAUACUAAGUUUUCAACUAAUUUAUUUGUAUUGCAGAUAAAAUGCCUAGAAGAAAAGUGCGAUCGCACCGCAUUGUUCAAGGUACUCCAAACUCGGCGGAAACAAACAGCACUGAACAACAGACUGCAAUUGGAUCUUCGAAUGUUCCGGUUACACCUGAGGAACAUAUAGAAGUUCAAAGUAAUUUAACAUUUAAUUUUCAUGUGUGCUGACUUCUUGUUUAUUUUUUUUAAAUUUCGUAUAUUACAAUACUUUUAUUUUUCAGAUGACACUGGUGAGACGCGGAGAGUUCGCGGACGUACAGUACUGAGCGAUUUAUACGACCUAGAUCUAGUCGAGCGUGUCCAAGUAUCCAGUAAUAGCUUUGGUCAGCCUGUUGGAUCAGAAGCCUGCCUUUUAGCAGGAUACAUGGGCAUUCUAGCACGGAAUGCAAAUAUGUUGCCAAUUAACUUCGAGUCAUGGCAUAAAGUGCCCGAGAGUAACAAGAACCAAGCUCUCGAUAACAUUAAGGUAACAAAACGUGUAUGUCAUUUAUAAUACUUGGGUUUAAGUUUCGUUUACAUUUACUUUCUUAAAUUGUGUUUUUUGUAGGCGAGAUUUGCUCUAGAGGUCUCCGAUGCUUAUGUAAAGAAGGCAUUGGGAAAAAGAUGGAGAGACCAUAAGAGCACUUUAAAGAAAGAAUAUUUUAAAACAAAAACAACACUUGACGAGAGAUUACAAAAUGUCCCGCCGGGAAUGCUGAGGUACCAGUGGGAAGAGGUCGUUAGAUUUUGGACUUCGAAGAAAGGAGAGGUAUGUGUAACUUAUAAAAUUUUGUAAUUAUUUUGGUGUAUAGUAUUUCCUAAUUAACGUACUAAUAAUUUCAUAAUGUAGGAUCGUGAACAAGUUGGAAAACAGAGUAGGCAGCAACAAAAAUUCACUCACACAGCUGGGUCGAAAAGUUUUGCGUGUGUAGCUCAUGCAGAGGUAUUUUGAAAUGCUUUUAAUAUUGGCAGAUAUUUAUUACUUUCUAUCAAUUAAUAUUUUUACUAUUGUAUUGUAGGAACUGUCGUCCGGUCAAAAAGUUGGACGACUUCAACUUUUUGACAUUACACAUAGGAAGAAAGAUGGAAACCCUAUGACUCCUGAAGCUACAGAAAUUAUGGUACGUUUGCUUAAUACAAUUUCACUUGUUUUAAUUAUUUAUAUAGUGUUUACUUUCUAAUGAUUUAUUUCAUUUAUUAUAAUGCAAAUAUUGUUAAGUUAUGUUGCAUUCUUAUUUUUAAUAUAUAUUGCGUUCCUAUCUAUGUGUGAUUUAUUUUUUAGGAAAAAUUAAAGAAUAAAAAGGCGGAGUACGACGCGAUUGCAUCCAGUGAUAGUUCUGUUCAUAUUGACGAUAUUGAUAACCGGAUUAUCACUGAAGUUUUGGGUCCUGAAAGGUAUGGUCGGGUUCGAUUCCAAGGAUCUUUUGUUAACCCGUCCCAAUAUUUUGGAUCUAGCUCGCAACAGCAUAUGCCUUCGGGGAGUCGAGCUGAAGCUGAAGUUCAGAGGUUAAGGGACCAGAUUGCUCUGAUGCAAGCGACAACAACUGAGCAAAUUACACAACUUAAAGCGGAGGCAACAUCGAGAGAAGCUGAUGUUCAAAAAAGAUAUGAAGAACUCCAGCUACAACUUAAAGCAGAUGCAGCAACGAGAGAAGCUGAGGUUCAACGAAAGUAUGAAGAACUCCAGCAGCAGCUUAGAGCAGAUGCGGCAGCAAGAGAAGCAGAGGCGACAGCGAGAGAAGAAUAGGCUGCAGCAAGGGAAGCAGAGGCUAAAGCGAGGGAAGCAGAGGCUACAGCGAGGGAAGCAGAGCAGCGUCAAAAGUUCGAUGAACUCCAGCAGCAGCUCCAGAGUAUGAUGAAGAUGUUUCAGCAGUCGCAACAGCCGCCGUCUUAGACUAUCGUGUAAAUAUACUUCAAUUUUGACUUUCAAUUAUCAUUUUAACUUUUAACAUUUUUGUAAGAAUAAUACGAAUUUGUUUAUAUUUAUUGAUAUUUAUUAUAUUAUUUGUUUAAUCCAUAGAUUUGUUACUUUUGGCUGGUUUAGAUAUGAUUUCUUUUGAUUUAUUUUUUACAGGAGGGCAGAAAAUAUAAAAAAAAAUUUACAAAUCUGCCAAAUUUAGCGGCGUUUUUGGUAAAAGCGCCGCUAUAGAUUAGGGUCUUUAGCGGCGUUUUUGCGCGAAGCGCCGCUAUAUAGACAAAGGGUAUUUAGCGGCGUUUUCUGGAUAAGCACCGCUAUAGAUCAGGGUCUAUUGCGGCAUUUUCUGGAUAAGCGCCGCUAUAGAUCAGGGUCUAUUGCGGCGUUUUUGGGAAAAGCGCCGCUAAAGGCCAUGUAUCUAUAGCGGCGCUUAUAUAAAAAACGCCGCUAAAGACCCUGAUCUAUAGCGGCGCUUUCAACAAAAACGCCGCUAAAGACACCAAUCUAUAGCGGCGGUUAUAUUAAAAACGCCGCUAAAACUCUUAGUCUUCAGCGGCGUUUGUGAUAGAAGCGCCGCUAUAGACCAACACCUUUAGCGGCGUUUUUUGUGAAAGCGCCGCUAAAGGUAGCGGCGCUAUCUUUAGCGGCAUCUUUUGCGGCGCUUUGCGGCACUAAAAAGCACCGCUAAAGGCCUAAAAAAGCGCCGCUAAAAGCCUGUUUUGGUGUAGUGAAAGGGUACAAUUCCUUGUGGGAGAGCAGCCUAUUAAUUGCAAGAAAAUUAACUGAAUCAGUUGUGACAUUCAUUCAAUAAACUUAGAUCAAACAUACCAACAACCUUUUUAAUAGCAUACCAUUCAACCAUGACUUACCUAAUAUAAGAUGGAAUAUGCACAAGAGCAACUUCACCUAUUUACAUCAUCAUUUAUACCACAACACCAACUAAACUCUUGAUCAUAGUAAACUUAUCAUAAUCUCAAAACAUCAAAGGAACCAAGAUUACAUUUAAGUCCUAAACGUGGCAAAACACAUAUAUCAUUCAAUCAUGAGGAUUUUUCCUAGUAAACCAUAAAUUUGAAUGAAGAAGAAAAUGCUUACCUAAGCUAAACAUGGCCAUUCCUAGUCCAGCAUCUGACAAGAUGGAGAUAGAUUUCUCUAAUAUUUUUGGCAUACUCACAUGCCACCUGCGAUUCAAACCCCCCCCAGACCAGUACCAAAAGUCACCUACUUCAAAAAACAUUCGCAAAUAACCAAAUCACAUAUUUACAUAUACAUUAAUAAGCCAAAAUCAAAACAUAUGAACAAGAACUCUCAAAUCACAUCAUAUUGGCCAAAUAACAUAAUACACCUAUUACAUGCCAUUUAUAACCAUCAACAUAAUAACCAAAGUCUACCAAAAUGAUGAUUUAAUAGAGUGAUCGUGCUCCGAAGUGAUUCCAACCGAUCGAGCUUUCUGAUGAUCUACAAAAUAGAGAAAAACAACUACAUAAGUAACUAAUGCUUAGUAAGCUCGUAUAAAUGGAACUUAAACUUACCGAACAUAAAAUGAUUAAACCAUUCAAUCAUUGAUCACAUCAUAUGGAUACUUUUCUUUCCUAUUCACAACAUUCCACAUGGUUAGUAGAUAUACUUAAAAAUAUAUCAACCUAUGAAACAUGGUGCAUUCAUGAAAUGAAUUUCAAUAUAAAACUAUUCAUCACAUGUUCAAUUAGUUCCCUUUUCAAUCCAUACUUUUCCUUUUCACAUGUUCAUUAACAUGAACCAAUGCAUAUAUACACAUUUCCAUUUUAUGCCUUAAUUUCCAUUCAAUUACAUAUAUUACAUUUCCAUUCCAUAUUCUCAAUGACAUAGCUCAUUCCAUAAAUACACCUUUUUGUUUUAAACUUUAAUUACCCGUUGAACCAAAUAGAAUAACAUCAGAUACUCAGGAAAUGCUCACACAAACUGUGCUUUUACAUGUAACUAUAAUCGUCUCUAUAAUGCUCACACGAGCUAUGAAAUGAGCUUGCUCACACUAGCUGUGGGUCGGGAUGUUAGCUACACGAUGCUGCUCAUAAGAGCUGUGGAGAAUCCCCAACAAAUGUAGGACCUCAGCCAUCGGUAGGACAUCCAGGACCAACACCCGAAAUCGUAUAGUCCCUAAUGACAUGUCAUUUGUAUCUUAAGAAUUCUUAAGGUUCAAACGGGACACUUUUAUAUAUCAGUCCUUUAACUUCUUCCAUUUCUAUCAUUUCAAUUAUGUACAUCUAUACAACUCACGUUUUUCACAAAUAUCCAUCAAUUGUAUAAACAUUACAAAUCCACCCAAAUCACUAAUUAACAUGGGUAAAUUCAAUAAUAAUUAAACAAAGUAUAACAUUAACUAAUCAUUCAUUUAAAUUAGAAAUUAACUAUUUUACCAUUAUACGAACUUACCUCGAUUGAAACAGUUACUAAAAUGGAGUCGACAACUAGUCCAAAACUUUAGCUUUAUGCAGCCCAAUUAAGAAAUUUUCAGUAUUCUAACAAGUAGUUUUAUGCAAUUAAACCCUUUCAUUAUUAAUGUACAAAUUUACCCCUAAUAUUCUAUCUUUUCUACAAUUUAGUCCCUAAAUUCGAAACUUGCAAAUUAGCCACUUUUAAUUAAAAUUCAUGCUAGUCGAUUUUCCCUUAGUCUUAUAACAACCCAUAUUUUUCCUCAUUCCACACAAUUUAUAUUAAAUUUUACCAUUUCAAUAAUUUAAUCCCUAAACAUUAAAAUUAUCAAAAAUCAUUUAACAAAAUACUUAAAUUUAACUACCAACUUUAAUAAUCUAUCAAUUGAAAUAAAAAACACCUCAAACUCAUUCAUGGAAAGUCCCUAGACUUUUAACAUUUUUACAGAUUGACCAUUGGGUUAGCUAGAUUAAGCUAAAAUGAUCACAAAAAACAUAAAAAAAAACAUAAAAAAAUGGGAUAAAAAACAUACCAUGCACCAAAGACAAGCUUGGUUGAAUGUUUCUUCACUUAACAAUUGUGGUUUCGACAAACAAAAGGAAAAAAUGAAGAUGAUGAUAGCUAAUUCCUUAUUUGUUUAUGUCAUUAAUUAUUAAAUUAACUUUUUAACCUUAAUAAUUUAAUGAAUAAAAAACAAUUCUUUGUCCAUAAAUGUCCACUACACAUUUAUAUAGUUUAAUUAUCAUCUAAGCCUAUAACUUUAUCUUCCUUAACCAUCUAACUCAUUUAACUAAUAAAAACUCAUUUUUGCAUCCUUUACGAUUUAGUCCAUUUUAAUUAAUUAACUAUUUAAACAUUAAAAGUUCUUAACCAAAUUUUAAUAUGGCCCUAGUAGCAAAUAUUUAACAAAAUAUUUAUGGGCUCGGUUUAUAGACACGAGAUCAUGAUACCUUUUUUUCUAAAACCACUUGACUUUAAGGAUUAACCACUUGAACUUGACUAUAUGACCAACCAAUAAAAUUUAUUAAAUCAAAAUUUCAUUAAUAGUAUACUUGACUCAUAAAUAUUAACUAAUAAUAUUUAUGGACUCUCUCGUUAGAUUUGUGGUCCUGAAACUACUAUUUCUGACACAACUGAAAACGUGUUGUUACACGAUUUAUCAAAGUAUACAUAUCAAAACUGAAAAAACUGAAAGAUACUAUUGAGAUUAAGCAAAGAACAGCGAAGGAAGUUUUGGAAACACCCGAGGGGGAGAUAGUUAAAGUUAAUUUUGAUACAUCUUAUCAAAAACGUUUGAGCAAAGCCAUAUUCGGGGUUAUAAUCAGAAAUAAAGAUGGGUUUGUAAUGGGAUUGUGCACUUACCCAUGGGAGAAUGUUUAAAAUCCAACCACUGCAGAAGCAUAGGCGUGCCAAUAGGUAGUCAAUUUCACAGAAGAAAUGGGCUUUAGAAAGAUGAGUGUAGAAGGGGACGCUCUAACAAUGAUAAAAAGGAUAAAAAUUACAGAGAAUGAUAGAUCAAUAAUAGGAAACAUUCCCAAAGAAAUUAACAAUAGAUCAUACAGGUUCAGAUACUUAUCUUUUAGGCAUGUCUCGGGGACGACGAAUGAGGCGGUGCAUGCACUGGCAACACGAGGACAUGGAUUUGAAACUUCAAUGUACUGGGUGGAAGAAAUCCUGUCAAAAGUGGAACACUUUGUUAAAAAAGAUAGAAAGGGCUCUCAAAGGGUAUAAACGAAAUGGGAUUUUUUCUCUAAGUCUGAAGGAUACUAAAGUAUAGUCUUCGAAGAACUCAGUGGUGUUAUGGACUGGAAAAAGCAAGAAACUUCAAAUGUAGAAAUUUUAGAGGAGAACCAGUCCAUCAGGAGACUCUCUUUGAUGCAAGUUGGGGCUUUUUUUUCUAAGAGAAGAUAGAAAGAUUCUUAGGUUUUGUAAAGUUUCUACUUUUCUAUCAAUUGUUUUUUUUUCUAUUUCUCUUUUUUUGCUUUAGGUUUAGGUUCACCGAGUGGUUUUCAUAGGCAUAUAUUUAGUAAUAAAUGCUUUUCUGCAUUUUGUAUGACCUUAGGCAUCUCCCGUUUUAGCCACUAGUGGUGGAAUGCUUGUAAUGGCGCUAACAAGGCAUAUCUUUGUAAACUGAAAUCUUCUUUUAUUUAAUCCAUCGGUUGAUAGAAUUGUAGAAAAAAAACCAAUGACUAUUAAAAAAUUCAUUAAAUAUUAAAUCUUUUAGAAUUGAAAUAUAUACGCAUGUUAGUGUCAAAUGACGGUGUAUAAACUAGGCAUAAUUACAAAAAAAAAGCCCUCAACCUUUGGGGGCUUUUGAAUAUAUGCCCCUAACCUUUUUAUUUUCUGAAAUCAACCCUCAACGUAACGGAUUUUUCAGACAUCAACCCAGUUGAAAAGGUAUCCGUUAGCUGAUUGUCAGUCAACAGUCAGUCAAAAAAAUUGGUCUAUGUGGCGUUCUAGUUGACUGAUGACGUUGUAGACCUUAAAAUAAUAAUGCUAACAUGUCAAAAAAAUUAAAAAAAAUUAAUAAACAUAAAAUAAAAGAACCCUAAAUCCCCAAAACAUCUCAAACCCCUAAAUUCGAAACUUUUUUCCCAAAUUUUAAAAUCCCCAAAAUUGUGAAAUUCCCUAAAUCUAUAACAUCCAAAAUCUUUAUUGAAUCCCUAAAAUCUUCAGCAAUCUCCUUUUUGAAUCAUUGAUUCAGGGAUUUUUCUACAUCCUUAAUCCCUUAGAACCAAAUCGUGAAAUCCCUAAUCUUUCCAGAAAUUUUUAUUUUUCUUCCUUGUCGUCUAAAAUCAUGGAUUCACAUAGUUCGAAUAGUCAGUCUAAAGGUCGGGUAAUGCAUGGUUCGAAGAAAAAAUCAUCAUACGUAAAUAUUGUUACUUCAUCACGGAAGGAGUAUGUCUAUGAUGGACUAGCAGUAAAAUGUCACUGCAAUAUGUUAGCUCUAAGAGACACUUCAUGGAGUGAUUUAAAUCUGGGGAAGAGAUUUUAUGGUUGUUCAGAUUUUUGGGUAAGUGAAGUUUUUUAUUUGCAAAUUAAGCUUGAGCUCAACUUUGAUGAUUUCAUAAAUCUCACUAUUUGUUUUGUUUUCAUUUUGUAUUAUUUCAAUUUGGCUGAAUUGAGGUUUGUUUGUAGGGUGUAGGUUGUGAUUUCUUCAAGUGGUACAAUGGGAAAAUGUGUGACCGUGCGACUGAUUUAUUGCGUCAAUUGCAUGAUAGUGAACGAAAUCUUUUGAUGGAUAAUUUAGCACUUAGAAAGAAUAUUAUGGAUUUGGUUGCAUUUGAUGGUAACCAUAAUGGUUGCAGUAGUACUGUUGACAUUGAGGUUGAAUGAGGUAGAUCAAUUUUUGGUGUUGAAGAAGUAGCAUUAAAUAAGAAAAUGUUGACCAUGAAGCAAAAAAUUAAAGUUAUCAAGAAAGAGAAGUCAAUGUAUAAGAUAUUAUUUUCUUGCUCUAUGUUAUGUAUUGUAUGCAUCAGCAUAGGUUUCUUUUCUGGCAGUAGUGGUAAGAGGCAUAUGCUAGCAGUUGCAAAUGUUGAUUGACCAAUGUUGGUUGUUUUUUAUGUAAUUUAACAGUAUGCUUGGAAGUAAUGACUAAUAUUUGUUGUUUCUGCCUAAUUUAAUUUAGCUUAGUAAAUAAUGCAAUGACAAUAAACAUAAACUGAAAGGAAAAAUUUGAUCAUUUAAGCAUAUGAUUUCCCCAUUACAAUUUGGAUAAAUGUACUUUACAAAAGCAUAUGAUUAGUCUCUACACCAUUCACCUUAUACUAGGGGUGAGCAUUCGAUCGAAUCGAAUCGACUCGAAUCGAAUCGAAAAUUUUCGAGUUAAUCGAGUUUUCGAAUCUUAUUUUAUCAUCCUAACCUUAUUUGAAGUUUUCUCGAAUCAAGUCGAGUAAGAUGGAAUUCGAAUCGAAUCGAAUAUAUUUGUUCGAGUUAAAUUUUAAAAAAUAAUUUUGGGUCCUUAUAACUAUUGUCACCCAUCGUAAUAAAAUUUGUCCACCUUAAUCAAAUUUUUUAUUAACUUUUAUUACCUCAUAAUUUAUUUAUUAAUUUUUUAUAUACUGGUUAGCUUAUUUGUUUGCUUAGUUAUUUCAAUUAUCUUCAGAUUCUUAUCACUAUGUAUUUUGGAAUUAAAAAAUAUAUUAAAUAUAAAAAUAUGAUUUUUUAAUAAAAUUUAUUUUAAAAAUAAAAUGUGAAAUUAAUACCAAUAUAAAAUUUUAACACGAAUAUUUUAUGGCAUAAUUAAGAAUUCAAUUUAAUAUAAAUAUUCAAUAUGACUAAACAAUUCAAUAAUAUAAAUAAUAUAAAAUGAGAAAUUUAAUUUAAUAAUAUAAAUAGUAGAUAUAAAUAAAAUUAUUACUAUUUAUGUUUAGUGAUUUUUUUUGAAUAAAUUUGAUUUUUUAUUUGAGAGUAAAGGGUGAGAAGUAAAAGUUUAGGGGGAAAAUAAAAAAUUUUGAGAAAUAAAAGUUUGAGGGAAAGUAAAUAGGGGGAGUAAAAUUUUGGAGGGAAAAUAUUUAAAAAAAUUUGGAGAGGGGAGGAUUUGGGGUAGAUGGGAGGUGGGAGGUGGGAGGUGGGAUGAGAAGAGAAUAAAAGUUUUAGGGGAAAAGUGAGAGGGAGUAAAAAUUUUGGGGGAAAAUAAAAGGUUUUGAGGGUUUUUGGGAGUAAAAUUUUGAGAAAAAGUAAAUGGAAGAGUAAAAUUUUGGUGGGAAAUGGAUUUUGGGUAGAUUGGGGGGUUGGGAGGGGAGGGGAGUAAAAGUUUUAGUGGGAAAGUGGGAAGAAGUAAAAGUUUUGAGGGAAAAGUAAAAAAGUUUGGGGGCUUAGGGUAAAAAUGUAAAAUAUUAUAGUUUGAUAUUUGAAUUAUUCGAAUUAUUUGAGUUAUUCGAAUUCGAAAACUCAACUCGAUUCGAACUCGAAAUUCGAAAAAAGAAAUUCGAGUUGAUUCGAAUAACUCGAUUAACUCAAAUAACUCGAUUCAUUUAACUCGAAAUUCGAUUUUUAUUUUUAUUUUUUUGAGUCGAAUCGAAUUUUGCUCACCCUUACCUUAUACACCAUCCAUGCUAUACCAGCCAAAAACCAGAAUGUGAGUGAGCUAUACAUGAACCACAAAAUAAAAAACCAACGUAUUGGUUUUCAUUACAACAAAAUAACAUUCAACAAUGAUGUAUUCCAAAACCAGAAUGUUGUAGGCUCAAAAUGUGACUAUCAUCUCCUCUUCCAAAACCAAAAUGUUGUAGGCUCAAAAUGUUGUAGGCAAAAUACCUUACACUGUCCUUUUUAGAUCACGAGCUGUAAUGAGAUGGUCCUACAAAACAAAAAAACAUAUACAAAUAGAUAAAUGUAAUUAUGGCACCCUGGAUAAAAUGAUUUGCUUGAUAAAAGAACUUCACAGAUAGAAAACUGUUGCAAUAAGAGACUUGUGUUGUUAUGGACCUAUUUGUAGAAGGUUAUAUCCACAAUCAUGAAGUAAAUUAUGGCAUGAUUUGACAUACAACAUAAAGAAAAGGAUAGCAUCCCUAGUUCCAGAGAAAGCACAACAUAUAUAUAUAAUGAAGCUGCAUUUUUUCCAUGUAAGAUUGCACAAGUUCAAAAGCAAGUUAUUAUUGUGAAUCACAAGAUAAACAGUAGAAGCCAUUCAAAACAAAAUAACGAUGACUUAUUCAUGUUUCCUGUGACUAAUUCUUGUGUUCCUAAAUGGUCGAAAGGAGCCUUUCACUUGUUAUUUCGCGACUUGGGUGUUGUAGAAGUUUGUUCACUACCAUCUUGGCAUGAAGCUAUCGUCAUGUUUCUUGUGGUUCUACCAGACUACAAGAGUAUUUUAUAUUAAUAUUAACACAAUAUACAAUGUUUGAUCAAUAGUAAAAAGAAGAAACUCACAUAAAAUAUUUGUUUUCCCUUAGAUUUAUCUAAGGUAGUUGACUUUUUAAUGGAAUAUUUCCCUUUUUGUUUGGGUGGUUGUGUAUCUUGCUGUAAAAAAUGGACCAUAAUCAUUGGUUAGACAAAAUAAAAAAAAUUUUACUCAAUAUAUAUAACUGAAGAACAACACUGUACCUACUUCGAAUUUGUGCAAAACUGCCUGUUAUGGCCAUAUUGGCCACAUUGAGUAUAUUUCAUGAGUAGACCUUUCCUACUCAAGUGGCCAGGCUUCAAUUUUUUUGGUUAAUCUUUGGCCAUCCUCCUAUUCUUUGUGGGCCUCUCAGGUAUCUUCUUUUUCAAUAAAAGGUAGCACUAGCUCAAUACCAGUUUUUUCCCAAUCAUGUGGCCUAUUAAUGGGCUGCAUUGGAAAAGAGUAAGCUUUCUUGUAGGUAUCAAUGUGAUAAUAUUCAUACAGAUAUUCAUCUGGUUGAAGCCUUAAGUGAUACAUUGCAACACAUGCAUGAGAACUUGGAAUCCCACUAAUUUGCCAACAUCUACAGCUACAUAUCCUUUGACUCAGGUCCAAUGUAUAUUGAUAACUUCCUUUCCUCAACACACAUCCAUGUUUACAAUUCCAUAUCAGUUGCCACUCUACACUGUCCUUCUUUUAGGCAUCAAACUUAGCUUUCACCAAUGGACCGUAAUUUUGCUUCAAUCCAUUACAUAACUUCCUUUUUUGUACUAUCCUAGUCAUCAUCUUGGUCCUAAUAUCCUCAAGCAUUCAGAUAAUGCUUUUGAAUUUAGCUUCAACAAUGCUUGAAUUGAAUACUUCACACAAAUUGUUGCCAACUAUAUCUAAUUUAUAAGUAGUCCCCAAAAAUGCCCUAGUUCACAUCUUUGGAGACUUUUUCAUCAAAUUAUCAUAAGCAUCCUUAUCUUUUUUCUCCAGUGCUAAACAUAGAUCCUCCAACUCCCUCUCAGUCGUGCACUUCAAAAUUUGCCAGAAAUCACACUCAUAAGAUUUCCCUAACUUCCUCCCUGACCAAUUUGCAAACACAUGCUUCACACAAUUCCUAUGCUCCACCCUUGGUAGUAUGUCAGAAAUUGCAAUCUCAAGGUCCUAAUUCAACAUAAUGAACGAGAUAGAUUGUUAGAAGAUUUUAGUUAAAUACAAGCAACGAAUUAAAAAACAAUACCAAGCUUAAAUUUGCAUAUUUACUAACCUUUUGUUGGUCAUUCAUAAUUGUGUACCCAUACCUAUCUUCCAAGCCCAAAUUAGUUGAUAAGAGACUGAGAAACCAAGUCCAUGAAUCAGUGCACUCAACUUCAACCACAACCUAUGCAAUAGGGAACAUUUGGUUGUUUGCAUCCUUUCCAACAGUUGCGAGAAAUUCACUAUUAAGUGGGCCUUUCAGGAAGCAACCAUCUAGCCCAAUGAGUAGCCUACACCCCACUUUCAAGCCUCUUCUUAGUGCAUCAAAACACACAUAAUACCUCUUAAAAUGAGGGAGCCUACUGUCACCCUUUGAACGACCAUUUUUAUUGAGCUUUCUGGCGUCAUUGGCCCUAACUCAUGAGCAUAAUCCCAUAGCAAGCCAAAUUCCUCCUUAUGAUUCCCAACCAUUUUCUCCUUCACUAUUUUCUUCUCUUUAUAACAACAAUCAAUGGUCACAUUUACAUGUAUCUUAGAAGCACAUCUUCUUUGAAUUUCACUUAGCUUCAUUUUAGGGUGGUCCUUGAUAAUUGCUUCAAAAUGUUGGGCAAUCAUAGCAGCAGUCACUAUUUUGUUCUUAAAACUAACCAAACAAUGGUGCUCAUCCUGAAACAUCUUUACUUGCAAGCAUUUCGCAACAGGACUGUAGCUAGCCCUAAUUCUCCAUGGAUAGUUAGGGGAAGUAAUGCACCUCACAAUAACCCUUUUUUGGUUUAUUCUUAAUAAACUUUAGUUGUCGUCUACAUUCAUUGGAGUACUUUCGAAUUGCGCUCUUAAACUGUUUUGCUAUCCUUAAACAACGUUCUCAAACUAAAUUUUAACUUAACAUUGUAUAAGAGAAACUUGCUCCUUUCUCUCACUAUCUUUAUGUUCUUCAUCUUCAUCAGACCCAACCAAGCUUCCAUGUUCGUCUGAGUCUCAUACCUCAGUCUCAUUCCUAUCCUCCUCUUCUCUACUAAUUGCAAUAGCAACAUUAUCCACUCUAUUUGAUGUUGCAAAAUCACUAGCAUAUUCAUCAGUAGUAACUUCACUAUCAUUAUCCUCUCCAAUAGUGGACCCUAAACUAAUUUGUCCAUCACUUUCCAUACCAACAUACUCAUCUACCUCAAUACUAGUAGCAGAGACACCCUUCCAAUCAGCUUGUACCCCUCUUACAUCACCCUCACCCUCCCUACCAGAUUCUAGCCUUUCCAUAUCACCUUCACCAUCAAAUUCUACACCUUCAUCAUCACCCUCCCCAAUAGUCAAUAGAUAAAUUGUGUCUAUAAUUAUAAGGUUAUCAACCUCAUGUUUAACAUAUAAGUUCAUCUCCUUAAACUUGACCCAAAAGUCUAACAUAGCUAUGGUGGAAAUGUCAUCACAAAUCACCCUUAGAUUAUUUUGUAACCUUAUUGUACCAAGCUCAUGAAAAUAUAUUAACAUGACAGUGUUAAACCCUAACCCAAUUUUCACUAGUUUACAUAAUUCAAAAUAAGAUAUUGUGUCUAGGUCCUCUUUAAGCCUAAUCACUUCCUCCCCUGCAUAUCUAACAUAUGGGUCCUUUACAAAGUGCCCACCCACGUGCAAAAUAAUAUAAUAUUCUUCAUCUGAUGACAUCUGCAAAGAAUAAACAAACAAUUUUCUCAGAAAAACACAUUAAAGAAAAAAAAACAAAACUCACUACCUACAUCGAAACCACUUCUUUGAAUACAAUACAAAGCAGUAAGACAUGUUUACAAUUUUAACAUCAUUUUUCUUGGGUAACAGAAAUCAAUAACAUCGGGACCACUGUCACAUCAUAAAUCGACAAAACAAACCCUACAUUGUGGCACUGAAAUUACAAUAAUAAAUCAUAAAUAACCAUCUACAAUUUUAACAACAGCUUUAUCAACAAAAUCAGGACCACUGUCGCAUCACAAAUCGACAAAACAAACCUUACAUUGUGGCACUGAAAUUGCAAUGAUAAAUCACAAAUAACCAACAAAUCAAACCAAAAAUGGAAUUUAUUUUCCCAACAAACCAAAUAAGAAAGCACAUAUCUUUCUUUUUUGGAUUACAAAAACUGCUCACGAUUGUUGAAGCUUUUUCGCUAUUAAAUUUUUAGGGAUUCAAUGAUUUGAUUUGUAAAAUUUUUAGGGAUUAUAAAAAUAUUUUGGAAUGCUAACGAUUUAAGAAUUUCAAGAUUUAGGGAUUUAAAGAUUUUAAAGAUUCAACGAAGAUUUUAGAUGUUAUGAAUUUGGGGAAUUUCACGAUUUAGGGAUUUUAAAAUUUGGAAAAAAAGUUUCGAAUUUAAGGGUCUGAGAUGAUUUGGGGAUUUAGGGUUUUUUGUUUUAUUUUUAUUAAAUUUGUUUUUUUGCCACGUCGGUAUUAUUAUUUUAAUGUCUGCCACAACGUCAAUCAACUGAAAUGUCACAUAGACCAAUUUUUUUGACCAGCUGUUGACUAACGGUCAGUUGACGGUUACUGUUUCAACUGGGUUGAUGUUUAAAAAAUCUGUUAUUUUGAGUGUCGGUUUCAAAAAAUAAAAAGGUUAGGCACAUAUAUCCAAAAGCCUCCAAAGGUUGAGGGCUUUUUUUUCCAAUUAUGCAUAUAAACUAUGACACAUUAGAUUAUUUACUAAAUUAUAACUUCAUAUUGUUAUAGUGUAUAUAACUUUGAUUGUUUAAUAAAUUUUCUUUUUCAUUUUAAAAUUUAAACGUAUGGUAAUAUAACUUUGUUGGAUCCUUCUGCAAUUGUUACUGGAGAUCGUCAUUUUACCUUCCAACAUUAUUUCUACAUGAUAAUCAAAAUUUAAAAAGUUUUCACAAACAAAAUAUCUAGAUUUCCCUUAUUCCAUUUCUAAUGCAGAUAAUUCAACACUCACAACCACCAUUGUUCUAUUCAAUCCCACUACCCAAUGACCAAUAAAACUCACUGGCUACCAUACCUUCACCAUACGGAAAGCCCAAAUAGAGAUGUUGAUACAUGGCCACAAGUUGUUUGGCAAUCCUAAUGGAAUUGUAAUUGUCUCACCAAAGACACUCACCAAUGAAAAUCAAACCACCCCAAACUCAAACUACUAAACCUGAUUUUGCCAAAAUAAACUGAUUCAAAAUGCUAUGUUAGCUUUUGUUGAUCCUACCUUUCCAUAUACCAUAACAAUCGCAUCUACUACUCAUAAAGCAUGGUAAUCACUGAUACAACCUUUGCUAAAAUAUUUCAAACUAGCCUUCAAAACAUACUAACACACAUCAUCAAAGAUGCACGCUCUAUCAAUCAUUAUUACCUUUGUGAAAUCCACUUUAUUGUUGAUAAGCUUGUCACUACUGAUGAACCCAUCACCAAUUUUGCAUCAUUGUUCAAAUCCUACAAGGUCUUGGUCACAAAUACAAACACAUCUCUAUAGCCAUUCAAUCUUGUUACACAUACAUCACGUAUGAAGAGCUUUACAACAAGCACCUCAACCAUGAAAUCUUUUUUGUAAUAGCUCAAUUUUUAGUGGUACUAAAUAAUGCAGUUUCAGAACCCCAUUUCCAUAAAUCAAGUCCAUAAAUAUUACAUAUGAAUAUUUAUGAGGUUAACAUAAAAGUAUAUUGAUGUUUGACCCAUCAAAUUUGUCAAUUAAAUAGUUAAUUUAGGUACAAGACUAAAUUGUAAAAGUCUAAUUGCUAUAGGUUUUUAAUUGACCAAAGGCUUAGGGACUUAAAUUGCAAUUAUCUAAAGGGCCAAAAUGGUUAAUAAACCAUAUUUAAUCUGCGCUAGUGGAUGAAAAUGAUGUGUAUGGAUUACCUUAAGCAAUUAAAUGUUUAUGUGAUUAAAACAUAGUUAAUUAAGGUUAAUUAACAAGUUAAUCCAAGUAUAAAAAUAAAAGUUAGUGGAGAGAAUAGUAUUAUCUCCUUCAUUUUGAUUUUUUACAGUUUAAAAAGAAAAAGAAAACCUAAGGGGGAAGCCAUUUUCAUGUUAUUACAUUCGGCCAAAAAUUAGGUAUGCAAUUUAAGCUAUUUCUUAAUUAUUUUUUUAUAAAUUUGAAGUAAUAAGAGCUUGGUUUAGCUAGCUCACGUACCAAUUUAUGAAAAUUUUAAAGUUUUAGCAAGUUGUCAUUGUUGAGAAUUAGAUGAAAUUGGUGUGAAAUUGUUAGAAAUUAAGCUUAGUUUAAGGAAAUGACUAAAUUGUAAAGCUUAAUGGUUAGUUACGUACAUGAGGGAUCAAAUUGAAUAAAAUUCAAAACUAUUAUGAAAUUUCGAUAGGAAUAGGAAGUAGGGGGUCCCUAAUGAAUAUAUGUGAAAUCGAAUUUUAAUCUAAAGCUAGAAAUCGAAUGUUAUGACUAUUCCAGUUCAAGGAAUAAAUUGAAUAAAAUGUAAAAUCUUAGGAAUAUCAAAAAAUUAGUUCAUAUAGGUUCAUUCAUAUCAUGGCAUAAUAUGAAAAUAUUUGGUAUUGAUUGGUUGUAUUAAUAAUUGUAUAAAUCAAGAUUUGGAUCCAAGUGGAGCUAAUAGGAGAAAAGCUAAAGUUGCAAACUAGUCCCCAAAGUCUCCACUCUUUUCACAUUUUGAACAAGUAAGUUCAUAUAGAAUUUAUUAAUUUACUAAUUUAUGUGUUUGUGUGAUUUUGUGUUUGAUUUCAUAGUUAUAUGUAUGUAUGUAUGUAUGUAUGUAUGUAUGUAUGUAUGUAUGUAUGUAUGUAUGUAUGUAUGUAUGUAUGUGAUUUAAUUAUUUGCAAAUUGGUAUGAAAAGCUAGAAAUGGUUUGAAUUGAAUUAUUAUAUGAUAAUUGAUUAAUACAUAUCAUUACAGGAUUCAAAUGCAAAAUUUUGAUUUUAUUACAGGAAUUAUAUUGGAAUAUGUAAAAAUUGGUGCCCGUGUAAACUUAGUAAAGGUUAGAAUAAAAUUGACAAGCCAACAGAGUAUUGUGCGCACUUGUACGAGAUUUAUUACAAAUGUUAACGUGAUCUAGCAUUUAUUGCAAAUUCUCGGGUAUUAUAUGACACAAGUUUAGCUCGGACGAGUAACCUAAUGUGUCAUGAUAUAGGUUUAGCCCGGACGGGUGACUUGAUAUAUAUAUACUCAGCUCGAAUGAGCAACUAGCAUGGUGUAGUUACUUGUGUAUCAGAGUCUGCUUACUAGGAUUCAUCGAGUGAAACGAUAUAAAUGAAAUUAGAAAUUGGAAAUGUGAUGAAAUGAAGUUGAUAUUCAAAUUGAAAAUGAUAUAUCUUUAUGAUUGUUAAUAGUAAAGGUGGUCGAUUCGAAUCAUAUAUACUUGUUAAUAUCUUAUGAUUGUUGAUUGAAUGUACCAUUGUGAUAAGUUAUAUGAAAGUAACAUGAAUCGGUAUGUUAAGUUACUUAUAGUACUUAAUGAUCUUGGUUAUAAAUUAAUACUCACCUUGUUGAUGUUUUGGGUGCCAUGUUCUAACCAAAGUUAUGCUAAAAAAAAGUAGAUUUAAAUGCUUGGGUAAAAAUAAGGUAAGCAUAGUAUUUUCUAUUUGAACUUACUAAGUAUUUCUUAAUGCUUAUUCAAGUUGUUUCCUUCCCUUGUAGAUAAUUACCUUGCAGAACUCGUCAAGUUGAAUCAUUGUGAAGCUUACACUAUCACUAAUUUGGUAGUAAUGUAUUUGUUUUGAUUAUCAAAGUUGUGGCAUGUAAAUAGGCAUAAAAUGUAUGGAACUAGUCAUUUUCUUGUUAGAAUGGUAUGCUUGAGCUUGUGGUAAAUGUUGAAAUGUAUGAGAAGCUAGGUGUUUGUACUAAGUGACAUAUGGAUUAACUUUGGUUAAUGUUUUUGAGCUAAAGAUGUUAAUUCCAUGCAUGAAAUGUAUAUAUAAUAGGAUUUGCAUAUAGAAGAAAAUGGUAAGUUGAGUUGAAAGUGGUUUAAAUAGGUAUAAGUUUAGAAUACAAAUGUUAUGCCAUUUGAAAGAUUAAAUUCUUAAAGUUUUAUGGAUUUGUUUUAGUUUGAUUAUGCAUGUUUUGGUACAGUUGAAAAUGUUAGGUGAAUAUGCAUAUCGGUAGGUUUUGGUCUAACCAUGUAAAUAGGCACCAAAUGGUAUUUUUGGCCAAACGUCUCGACGACCAAUAUCUCAUGUCGCAACGUUGGCCGAUAGUAAGGAUGUCGCGACAUCAUUAUGCAUGAAGUCGUGACGUGACAUACUAAGUUGGCAACGUCACGACCUGGAGAUUUUGAGGUCACUACAUCGAUCCUGAAUUUUUAAAACUUUAUAAUUUGGUCUUAAUUCGUGUACGGUUUUGCAAAAGAGCUUUCAUAAGCUAUGUGGAACCUGGAAAUGAUCGUAAUACAUAUUUAGAAUGUGAAUGAUGUUUUUUUUGCAUAUGUGAUUGGUCGGAUGUUGUAAAAUUGUCCAAAGUUGCUCCAGCAUCAAUCGUAACAUCUUACAGCUCAAAUCCGACGAUUGGGUCGGGCGACGGGUGUUACAAAUUUACCACCUGAAGACAAAAAAAAGUUCUUAGCAAUAACCAUUACUGCAAAUAUUGCCCAAAACUCAUCCUUCAUUUCAUCACGCUCUGGCAAUAACACCAACAACUGCCGACAAAACUCCAAUAAGAAUCCCAACAAAUGCAAUCAACCUUGGCAUCCACGACGUAAUAAUAUACAACAACUUUCCCUAUGCACAAUAUACUACCAACUAUGUGAUCAACCUUCACACAUGUAUUGUUAGGUUUCUCAUAAUCACAUGCAAACAAUAUCCAAUUUUGCUGCUCACUUUUAAAAUUCUUGAGCACCUUAGAUAAUUGAUAUCGACGCAACUCACCACAUGACCUUUGAUGUUCAUAGUAUAACCUCUGCAUAUGACUACCAUGUUUCAAAAUUAUCCAUAAACAUGUAUAAGGUCGGUAAUUUAUAUUUUCCCUAAUCAUCUUUCUUUUUUACGCUGUUAACGGUUGAAGUAAAUUGAUAAAAAAAAAUUUGGAAACUUCAGGUACUAAACUGAUAUAAAAAUUGAAAACUUCAGGUACUUAAAUUGAUAUAAAAAGUUCUCUAUGUACCAAUGUGAUAAUUCGGUGCAACUUUGGGGGUAAAUAGUACAUUAACUCUUAUUUUUAUAAAGUAAGAAAUAGUAAGGCUUAAGGGUGUAAAAAGCCUUCAAAGUAUUUUUUUGCACUCAAUUAGGUACUUGAACUUUCAAAAGGCAUAAAAAAGGUCCUCAAACUUUUUAAAAAAAAAAGCAAUUAAGCCCUUACUUUUUUUGCACUCAAUUGGGUGCUUGAACUUUCAAAAUACAUAAAAAAAACCCUCAAACUUUUUCAAAAAUAGCAAUUAAGCCCUUUUUUUGCAAUCAAUUGGGUACUUGAAUUGUCAAAAUGCAUCAAAAAGACCUUAGAUUGUUAACUUUAACAGUUGAUCGUUAAAGUUAACUGCCCCUAAUUUUUUUCAAUUAAAGUCAUCCCGUGUCACAACCAUGGCAUGACGUGUGGCAAGAAAAUUAUAAAAAAUAAAAAUCAAUAAAAGUUAUAAAAAUAGUUAAAUUUUAAUAAAAAUAAAAAUAUUUAAAUUUUAAAUACAUUAGUGAUCAAAUUGUGAUUUUUUAACUAAUUGAUCAAAACCAAAAAGUACUCAUAAUUGAGUAAUUAAUGUAUAAUUUACCUUAAUAUAUUUUAUGUUGAAGAAGCAUUUGAGAAAAUAAGUAAAAUGGAGACGGUAAAAAGGAAAGAGAAAAAAAAAACAUUAUUAACGGCGUCGUUAAUUUGCUAUUAUAUAUACUGUUAAUGGUUUAGUAAUUUAAAUUUAACAAAUUGAUUUAGUAAAUGAUAUAUAAAUAAUUAAUUUUAUAGUUUUCCCGGAAAUUAAGUGUGGGCAUAAAAGUGAAACUUUACAAUCGGGAUUGUAGCAAUUCUGCUAUAUGGAUUAUGCCCCAUAUCUAUCUGUUUAUUAAUUUUGGUUUUCUCAACUUGGAUGGUAAACUGAAGCAAACCAUGUGCAUGUGGAAGAGUGAUAGUUUAGUUGGAAGAUUUAUGGCCACUUGCAAGAGAAUGGAUAACAAAAUCAAAUUAUCCUACUCUUCUUAAUGGAACAAAGUAACAACAACUUCAUUAGCUCACCAACAAUCAGAUAUACAUUAAAAUCGAAACAAUGAAAAUAUCCACCAUUUGUCAUAAGUAAAAUCCCAACAACAACAGAAAAAUUCCUCCACCUUUUCUCUAUCUCUUUUCCAUCUUCAUAAUCAAAGGAUUAAAAAGAGUUGUAUGGUCUUUAGAGAGAAAGAAUAAAAGAAGACAAAAGAACUCUACACAAACCCCAAUAUUGAAAUAUCAACAACUAAUACAAUUCACCCAUUUUAAAAGAGGAGACCAAACGCAAGAGCGACAAGGGAAGCAAACGCCGUCGGCACGAAUGCGGUGGCAUCUGAGGUAGGAGUAGGGGCCGGUGCAUCAGCUGCCGCAACAUAUUGGACCGCCGACAUGGCCAUCAACACCACCAUCAUGGCCAAAAAUAGUCUCAUCCUCAAUGCCUCCAUUUGUUGGUGUAGUCUCUCCGUGAAUUUUGUUGCAAAAAGUGAGG